rnacentral:lncRNA from 1 species
UUUUUUUUUUUUUGGUCUUUCAGUAAGGGGACGGUGAAAUUUAAAAAAUUAAAGAUUUUUUUAUCUCCCAUAGUUUAGAGACCUUAGAAUGGGUGUUGGAAAAGGGGGGAGGGGGGAGGAAUUGAAUUAGAUGGUAAGGUGAAAGGGAGUAGGCCUGUCAACGGGUCGGGUCUAGACCCGGAUCCGGACCGGAUCCGUGAAAUUUUUCCGGGUAUGGGUAGGGAUUUAAUUCCGUUUUCCGGAUCCGGAUCCGGAUCCGUUUUGUCAAACAAAAAAACGGGUCGGAUACGGAAUAUAGUAUUCCGGCCCGUAAUAGACCCGGAUCCGGAUAUAAAUGAAUUAAUAAUUUUAAAUAUAUAUAUUUAUCAAUAUAAUUUGAUUAGAGUGAUGUAUUUUAAUAAAGUUAAUUUGAUUUCUUUUCUUAUUUGAUUUUUUCUUUGCAUUAGUUAAAAAUUAGUUUACAAAUAUAUUUUUUUUCAUUUUUAUUAGAAAUUAUAAAUUUUGCUAAAUUUGUUCGGGUAGACCCGGAUCCGGAUCCGGGACCCGCCGGACCGGCCGGAUCCGGAUCCGGAACAUAGAAUAAAAGAUCCGUCGGGUAAACGGGUCGGAUCCGGGUCCGGCAUAGUAAUUCGGGUCCGGGUCCGGAAUAAUGAAUUCCGGCCCGGACCCGGCCCGUUGACAGCCCUAAAAGGGAGUCAAUCCUCUCACUAACAAGAAAAAAAAUGGAGAUGCCUUAGAACCCUUCAUUGUAUUUGAAAGGGGAAAAAAAAAAGACUCCAUCUCAUGGGAUCUUGUAAAAUGGGGCUGUUUCGCUUGAGGAUUAUUUGUAAUUUUAUGAUUAUUUAGAAUAGUACUUUUUGAUGAUAUACAUACAUAAUAUUGACAAACGUGCGUAAUAUAAAAAAAUAAUAGAAAAGAUAUUGACAAACGUGCGUAAAAAGAAUAAAUAGAUUGUUGUCCACACCCAAUAUUUAAUAUGCGGGAUAAGCAUCACAUUACGUGUUUUUGUGGAUUCUAACCGUAUGCUUCCCGAAUUUCAUCUACCAGCAAAAUGGGCACAUUAAAGCAAAUUCUUGGGCAUUGAUGCAACCUCCAACAACCAAUCUUGUGGUUCAAAAUAAAAAUAUGUUCUUUUUUUAAUGCAACAUGGCCUCAAUAAGGGUAUUUUCGGCAUUAAGGGGGUUUUUGUUAAAUGUUUGAUCAUUCAAAGGGUGAGACCAUUAUUUGGACAAAUUACAGGGAUUGAUUGGUAAUAUGGUCAAACCUCAGGAGAGGUAAAUGUAAUUAACCCUAAUCUAUACUACAUACAUAAGACCGAUGGACUUGGUCAAGCUAUUAACUUAAUGUUUUAGGAUAAAAGUAAUGUGUAAAUCUUUACCAUACUGAUAUUGUAUAUUUGUAAAUGCUAACGAGUUUGGGUGAAUGUCAAAGUGUGUAAAAUUUAUAAUUUAAAGUCAAAUUGAAAUGAUAUGCCAUUCAUUAUAAUUCGUUAAUGUAUAUACUGUAGAAAAGAUUAAUCCAAAAAUAAAACCUCAAAAGCAUGUUAGAGUUUAUUCUUUCUUGUUUUCCUUUGGACUGAAUGAAAGAAAGGUCCCAAAAGAGAAAAGAUUUGACAUUUACCUUCAAUAUUUAUAGCAACUUAAGCGGACAUUGGUUGCAUGGAGACACAAACUGAUUAAAAUGGUAUUAUAUUUGCGUAAUAUUAUUAAAUUUUGAGACGAAAUAUACUCCUUUUCUCUCAAAUAUCAAAAUAUCUAAUAUUUCAAAACAAAAUGUAUUGAUUGCCCACAGCCAUCAGGAAUAAAAUAAUUUGGGGAAGGGGAUUGCGAUAAUCAAAGUGGCAAAAAACAAGACAGAAAUUAGCUGGUUUUCAUUAUUAAGAAAUCUAAUUGUUAUUUUUAUAUUGGUCAUUAAGGAAUACAAAAGAAAGGAUUAAAAAGAAUGUCCGAUUGACAAAAACAUAAUUUAUAACAUAGGAUUUAUCUGUAUCAAUUCCAAUCAAAUAUUGAACUUAAAAAGAAGAUUAAUUUCUUUAUACCGAAAUAGUUUUAUAUAUUAGAUGAAUAUAUUAUUUUGAUUUGUUACUUGUUUAAUUUUUAGUUGUGUGGAUUUGUAACAAACAGAUAUUUUCCAAGUCUUAUGUCUUAUUUGAAUUUAUUUUUUAAUUAUCUUUCGAAGUUAAAUACUAGUUGUAUCAUUUGAAGUUUAGUUAGUUGGCGGAUAAAAGCACAAAAACUGUACCGAAGCAUUCAUUCAGAAAACAAACAAUGGCCCAUGCAGGUCUCGAACCUGCGACCUUCGCGUUAUUAACACGACGCUCUAACCAACUGAGCUAAUAGGCCGGUGUGAUUGCUAUGGCAAAAAGUAACCAUGACAUUGGAACGGCCGUCCACAGUAUACAUUUUACAAAGUAAACUUUGGAAAUUGGGGCAUCUUUCGGGACUCGAGAAAAUUAAAUAUAGUUUAAUCUCUUCUUAUUCAGACAAAAUACCCUCCAAAAUCCAAAGUCCCUUGAGAAAUUGAACCAAAAAAAAAAAAAAAAACUGAUAUUCUGAAUUCUGAUGCUCCAACCCCAAUGUCCAAAGUAGCCGUUGGUUAGUCCGCCUCAUGCAGUUCAAAUUCGAACUCGGUCAAGGACUCUAUUUAGUAUUUUCUUCCCAUUAAUCAAAUACUACUGUACUCUACUAUUCAGUCCCAACGCCCAGCCCCUUCCUUUCCUCCAGAUAAAAAAAUCUGAUAAAGACAAGAAAGAACAGAAGAAAUGUUGAAGGCUGCCCAAUCUCCAUUAUCCGACCACCAGAUCCAACGGCCGAAAAGUGGCCGGAAGCCACUGCAGCCAAAGAAUUCUCCGGCCACUCCUGUUGUCAUCACACCCCACCAAAAACCGAAGCAAAAUGCUGCAACUGAUCGGAUUGAGGUGUCAGUGUUGGAUAAUGACUCGAACAAGGAGAAUGUGAAUCCCCUUUUUGCCACCCCGGUGAAGAAUGAAGAGUUCAGGAUCGAACAAUUCGAUUCGUCCCUGGCUGAGGAGCUGAGUGCCAUUCGCGAGAAGCUCGAGAGGUUGAGGAUAGAGAAGGAGAAGACGGAGAAGAUGCUCAGUGAGAGGGAUUUGGUUCUUGAUUUGCAGAUGAAUGAGUUGCACAAGAGAGGCGAAGCUCAGAAGAUGCUCGAAAUCGAGGUUGAUAGGCUGUAUCGAUUGAAGCAGCUCAAGUUAUCUUGCAUGGUAAGAAGGAUUUAAGGGAAAAAACAGAACAUCUUUCAAGAUUCCCUUCAUUGCGUUUUAUCUGAGUUACUUGUUAGAUUUGAUAUUUCCAGCAAUGAUGCUAAUGUAAACUGUCUGAAUUUUCUUGGGAACAGGGCAUUUCGCCAAUCCGAUCGCUGAGAAAUAAGGCAAAAGAAAAGGGCGAGGCAAGUGAUCAGUUGUUAAACUUGUUUGGUCCUUGUAACUUUAUAGAAAGGCCCGUGUCUUCUAAACCUGCGUUCUCUGUUCUUUAUUUUUCAGGGAACGAAAACUGAUUACAGGGAUGAAGUUAACCAGGAGGAAAGCCUGUGAAGCUGAGAUCAGAAAUUAAUAGAGACAUGCAACUGGCAACAUAAUAUUGCCUGCAAAUUGAAAUUUGACAGGCACGAAUUAUAUAUAUAGCUCCUUUUUAACAAUUUUUGUCUAGUGGAAGAAGCAAAAGGGGAUGUGAAAACUGAAAACUGGUGUGGCAGCUAAGUGGUGGCACAAUACAUCAUUGUAUAGUUUCUAACAGAGCUACUAUCUCUACUGUAGAGAAAGAAGGAAAACAAAAAGUUUAUCUAAUUACUGUUUAUGUUUAUUUCUCUGUGUAUUUUCUCUUUAGAUUGGCUCUCUCAACGGAGGAAAAGAAAUUAUAAUAUGUUGCAGAUUAUCAUAAAAGCUUGAUGGAAAGAUGCAGGGCCAAGAAAAGAAAAGAUUAACUGGGAUGUCAUUGACAGCAUAUUAAGUAUUAACAGAUCAAUCAACAAUCAGUACCUUUAGUUCACCUAUCUGGGCUGGAUGAGAUGUCGUUUUGUUCAAAAUAUAUCGUGUUCCAUUUGUGAGAAGCAGUUGCUUUGAUGUGCUAAUCAAGAAAUAUUGCUUCAAUUCUCUGCUUGGAUAAUUUCUUGUCUUACUAGCAGUCUAGCAUAGUUCAAUUUUGAUGUCAGAGGAUAUGUUUCCUCUCGACCGUUAUUUUCCUCCGUAUAUGAGGAAACAAUGCAAGUAGAUUGACUUAUUUCCUUACUUGAUGAUGCUAUGAUAUAAUCCUUCCUCUUUGAUAAGGAAAAGCUGAAUAACAGCGCCUGAAAUCCUCCUCUGUUUGUUCUGUAUCAUGACUUGCCAACUUCGAUUCAAGGUGCUGUUGAAUCUGGUUUCUCUUCCACUUUUAUUUCCCACAUUUAACCACCCAUGAUUUUAUUUUCCGAAAACACAGAAUAAGUAGUUUUAAUCCACAUAAAUCCUAUCUUUCCUAGUACAACUAAGGUGGGGCACUUUGGUUCCUUUUUGUUUUUGCCCCCCCUAAACUCAACAUCCUUACCAACUUAACUGAAAUGGUCAGGCAACCAACACAUAAAUUAUCCCAAGUUCUAAACAAACACGCAUGAAAUAGGAAAUCACACGCUUAAGUGCAAGUCUAGUAAAAGAGUACCAAAACGGAAAAAAAAGAAAUGAUCUUUGGAUCAUAAUCCUCUUGGGGAUGGAGAACAAAUUGAUGGAUUGCAGCUUAUAACAAGUGCUGGAGAAUUAAGGGAUAGUUCUGUGGUCGUCAGAGCACAAAUUGACCGAUUGCAGAAUGUCAUGACAAGUGCUGCAGAAUUAGGGGAUAUUUUUGUGGUCAAUGGAGCACAAAUACAUGGAUAUGAGCAGAUAACAAGUGGAGCAGGCCAUGUUUGAAUGAAGGAUCAGAUGCAAAUCAGGCAUGAAGAAGGGAUGUCUCAAUGCAAGGCAAUGAGGGAUCAAGAGGCAAAUACUGCACCUACUAAUCAAAGGGCAGAUGAUGACUUCGGAGUUGCAGAUGAAUAUUCCAAUCUCAAUCAAAAUCUUGUACUAGGAGAUGAGAUCUACUUGAUUCUCCCUCACUAUGAUCUGGAUAACGGAUGGGAACAGUCCUACUCAAUAUCCGUGCUCAUCUUUUGAUGUGGAUCCCGCUCUCUUAGCUGUGUAAUAGUCUGAUAAACCCUGGCUUCCCAAAUGAAUCAGCAUAAAAGCAAAACAAAAAAAUUGUUAAAUGGUUGUGAAGAUUUUUUUUUUUUAAUCUGUGGCAGAGUAUAGGACCAUGCUGCAAUUACUCCAUUGGACUUUUUCAGUACCCGCUUGACUUGUUGUUGGUAGAAAGUUGGAAGAUCAAACCAAUGAAUAGCUGUAGCAAUGGUCAUGACUAAAUCAUCAUUUGGUUAAUCUCAGCUAUGUGAACUUUUCCACAGAAUUGGUUUACAUAUAUAAUAUAUAUGCAGCAUAUGCAUCCUAAAAACAAAUCAUAGUAGAGAUUCGUAAAAGAAAACAAGGUAUGUCUCUAAAUAUAAACAUAUUUCAUGUACAGAACUGGUUUUCAAUGGCUAUAAAAAAGCAGAGCUGCAACUCAGGGUUGAGUUCAACAUAUCAAGUUGCAGACAAAAGUUAACAAUUUGAACAACUAGGGAUCUACACAAGUUAACAUGAUGUGCAAAAGUACUAGUAUUAGAUUAUCUCUCCUUCUUCUACUUCCCAACAUAAAUAUGUGUCUUCAGCAUCAUCUGCUGCCACGAAUUCCUCCUUCAAGUGCAAGCCAAACUGUUCUGAAUGGUGCACAGCCUUAUCGGUCUUUAAGCCUUUCAAUACCAUCAUAGCCGAUCUGUUACUUCCAUGGACAACGUAAGAGGGAGAACACUGACUUAGUUGCUCAAGUUCCUGAGAAUCAUGAGAUUGUCCUCAAAGUCAACUGUGCUUUCCAUCAUCUGCAACGCAAAAAGGGCAGCUUCCCUUUCUUUUUGCCUCAAUUCAGCUUCUUUCUUCUUUAAGUGCUGCGCUGCUGCUCUUAUUGUUUCUGCUUUAAGCUCCUCCCAUAGCGCCAUGUUAUCGUUCCAAUCUUGAUGGACAUGGACAUCAAUUUUGUCAGCUUUUGCUGUAGAGAUGAUUUCAGAAAAGCGAGGUAUUAACCUAACUGCACUUAAAGCCUUCUUCAAAACGUAUUCGUCAUCAGGAUUUGGUCGACUUUUGCUGCAGUUUUGAUCACCAAAAACACCAAAAUUCCUUCCUGCUGCUUGGUUUUACAACUACUGAUUGCACCAAUCUUCUUCUUGCAGCGUUUCCAUCUUUUUAAAGUAUCCAAUAUUCUCUUUCUUUUUCCAUCCCUUUCAUGACCAUCUAGAAACCAGAAGUACUUGAGCAACUUUUUGAUCCUUGCUCCCAUUAAUUUGCGACGUUGAUUUUCUCCCCACUGGAUUGUUCUUCUUCCCGACCAUGCCGUUCUUAGCUACUCCCAUGUGCGAUGGUAACAACAAAAACCAACCAACCCAAGAAUGAUUGUACUUCUAGAGGUCCAAAUCUCCCAAACCCAAGAAUCAAACCAGAUAGUUUUCUGAAGAAAACCAAGAUAUAACUACUUUGUUACUACUUGCUAGGGAUCAAAGAAGGAAGAAGAAACUAGUUUUGGAUGAUAUGAAUAAUGAUGAAGUUUAUCGCUCCCUUCGGGUAGUUUGCUAUUCCAAGAUCAAGGAAUGUAACCCUCGAUGAUAUGAUCACUAUGUUCUUGAUUUCGUUGCGGCCUGUAGUUUAGAGUAACAAUGAACAGAAUCCUUAAAUACUAUACGAAACCGGUUGGAUUUAGGAAAGUGGAAGAAACAGAGGAGCUCGUGUCUGGCGGCAAAUUUCAAAAAUAGCCGUCAGAUUAUGGGCUUGAGUGUUUCAGCAAAAGACCUCUCUUAUUUUGCCCUAUACAGUUUUGGCCCAUGCUCACUUUGGGCAAUUGCAAUUUCUUUCUGCUUCCAUAAACUUGACACAAUUAUACUCAAGGGUUAAUCACAUUUUAUCCCCUUAAAAGAAUACCUCAUUUCUCAAUUUAUCCCCUAACCUUUAAUUUUGCUCACUUAACCCCCUUUAGGACAAAAUUACCCUUGCAUUAUUUUAACUUUUCAUUUAUCUUGUUUGCCUUUCUUUUAUUUCUUUUGCUCUUUCUUCUUUAUUUAAUUCUUCCUCUUUCCCACAAAAAUUUUCACCUUAAUGAUUGAAAUUAAAAAAGAGGAAUUGCAGAGAUCUAUUUUCUCCUUAAAUGAUUAAAAAAAUAUUCAAAUCACUUUCCUAAAAUACAAUUUUUUUAGUCUUUCAAUUCUUUUAAUUUUGGAUUUUCCUCUUUUCUUUCUAAUUUCUCAUUUUAUUCUUAAGAAAAUAUUAUAAGAUGAAAUUGUUUUCCUUUCUUUUAUUUCUUUUUCUCUUGCUUCUCUUUUUCAUCCUUUCCAAUAAAAAUUCCAUUUCAACGAAAAUUUUUGUUUUGAGUUUGUAAUUGCAUAUUUUUAGGUGAAAGUUUAAGAGACAUCAAAAACUAAAUUUUGAUUUUUUGUAUGAUGCCACGUGUCACAAAUUUCAAUUGAUGAUUAUUAAUCAGGUCACAAUUUCAUCUUAAAAUAUUUUCUUGGGAAUAAAAUGAGAACCUAGAAAAGAAAGAGAAAAAUCCAAAAUUAAAAUAAUUAAAAGACUAAAAAAAUUGUAUUUUAGGAAAGUGAUUUGAAUAUUUUUUUAAUCAUUUAAGGAGAAUAUAGAUAUCUGCAAUUCCUCUUUUUUAAUUUCAAUCAUUAAGGUGAAGAUUUUUGUGGGAAAGAGGAAGAAUUAAAUAAAAAAGAAAGGAAAACAAGGUAAAUGGAAAGCCAAAAUAAUACAAGGGCAAUUUUGUCCUAAAGGGGGUUAAGUGAGCAAAAUUAAAGGUUAGGGGAUAAACUGAAAAAUGGAGUAUUCUUAAAGGGGAUAAAAUGUGAUUAAUCCUAUACUCAAUCCCUCAAUCUGAAAUCACUCUGGCUCUUGAGUGGGGAACUCGAAAUUUACUUGAAUGCAUCUGUCUGCAUUUCCGCUUGCUACUCAGCCGGCUUUUUAAAGGGCUAAUUAUGAAAACUCCCCGUACGAUUUAACCAGUUUGCACUUUACCUCCUAGCGUUAUUUUUUUCUCACUUUACCCCAUAAAUCAUUAGUCAACUCUAACAUUACAUAACGGAAAUGUCAAAAAGACAUUCAUACCCUAAGGGCUAACUACAGUAAAUUCUCCUAAAUUAUAGCUAUUUUGUACUUUAUUGGCUUAUAUCAUUUUUCUCUUAAUUUGUCUAUUAGUCCUUAAAACCAUUAGUCAACUCUAAUAUUUUGUAUCACUCAACAUAAACUUUUUAGAUGCAAAAAAAAAAAAAGAAAAAUUUAGUAAUUCAAAUAAAUUUUAAUAGCAUAUAAGUAUAUAUUAAAAUAACAACUCUGGAAAUUAACCAUAUUUCUCUUUUUUAGUAUUAUCAAUAAAAAAAUAUGUAUACUUCCAUAUAAAAAUGGUCUAGCUAUUAAAAAAAAGUUUAGCCAUAUGCACAUUACUAAGGAAAACUAACAAUAUGCGGAUCAUUUUUAGACUUUUAAAAAUAAUUUUCAUAUUUUAAUUUUUUAAUAAUAAAUUUUUUUUCCUACUAUUGAAUCAUACUAGCAAGAUAUUCUCAUGAAUCUAAAAAAAGUGCAAUUAUGGAAUGAAAUUUAACUAGGACCAUAUAUAUAUAAAUUAUUAUAUUUUAUUAUUGUGUUAGGAAUAUUUAUUUUUUAGAUAUUAAUUGUUCUGGAUGUUAUCAAAUAUUGGAGUUCAUUAAUGAUUUUAGUAAUAAAUAAACAAAUUGAUAAAAAAAAAGGGUUAAUUGCACUUUAUCCCCUUUAAGUAUGGGCCAUUUCUCAAUUUACCCCCUCAACAUUUGUUUUUCCUCAGUUUACCCCCUUCGUCAGUCUAGCUAAGCAAUUACACCGUUAAAAACUUCAAGAUGCCAAAAUUGCCAUUGGAAGAGAGCCGUUUGUUUUGGAUGACUAAAAUGUCCCUCAAUGAGUUAUAAAAGGGGGUGUCUAAUACUUUUUAGCCUAUUUUUUCCCUCUCAUGUUUUUAUCCAGUUGCAGCCUAUUUUUUUUCUUUCAUUUUAGCAGAUCCAACAACUCCUAAAAUUUUUCUUUGUCAACCGAAAGCAUCAUAAAAAUGUCACAAAGUGUUUCAAAUAACGUUGAAAGAUCACCCCAAAAAAUGUGUGGAUGUGGUAAAGAGGCACCAUUGUACACCUCUUGGACAUUUGAAAAUCCGGAAAGAAGAUUUUACAGCUGCUCAAAUUACAAUGUAAGAAUUGUUCAUUAAUAAUCUGUUAUUAUUGUCUUUAAUUUUGCUCUGUACAUGAAUAAGUCAGAAAGAGUUUUAGACAGCUAUAUUUUCUUUUUAUUUAGAACUAGAUGCAUGUGGGCACUUUUCAUGGGUAGAUCCUGAAGUUUUUAGCAAAGCAAAAGAAGUGCAGCGCUGCAAUCUAGACUGUUGGGGCAAAAGGAGAAACUUAUGUAUUUGUAAAGGGAUCAUGAAGAAUUGGCAAAUGAGCAUGAAAAAUUGAAAAGCAGAUAUGAAGCCUUAGCAAUAGAAGUCUAUAUAUUAAAAGCUGAAAACCAACAGCUACAGCAACAAUACAUGAUUGUCAAAGCUGCUCAAUCUUUAUCAUGGAGAAAAACACUAGCCAUUACAUUUUUGAUUGCUAGCAUUAUGUAUAUGUACUCUAUUUUUGAACCAAAAGGCAAGAAAAAUUUGUUUUAUCUAAAUAUAUAUAUAUAUAUAUAUAUAUAUAUAUAUAUAUAUAUAUAUAUAUAUAUAAAGAUUAUAUUAGGUUAAAAGCAUUUUGCACAUCAGAUUACAUCUUAGCAUAUGUCCACAUGGCCACCCAAACAAAAGCACCCAAACAAAGGCCAUUUUAGUAGAACCUAACCAAAACAUGAUAGUAGAACAUGCCCAAAUAAUGGCAAAAGCAAAAAACAUAGGCUCAUUUCUAACAUUGUUGCAAAACAAGCAAUCAAGUACUAGUAAUGACAAAAACAGUAACUUAAUUUCACUGCACUACACAUCCAGGUAUGUGCACAACUAUUGAACGUCUAGUUGCAAUUGAAGAUCCUUGGCUAGAGAACACAACUUCUCCAAAUCUAGUACUCUUGGUUUGAACCUAUAGUCAUGGAUAAGGGGUAUCUUAGUGCAUCAAACUACUACUAGGGGUAGCAUGUAAACAUGGUCAAAAGAUUUGAACUCACCAUUCUAGUUUUAGCAUCACCUGAAUUGCUUUUUGAACUUCCAGUUUUAGCAUCACCCGAAUUGGUUCAUGGUCUUUAGUUGUUGCUGUAGUUUUUGCUUUUGAACUUGUACUUGGUAAGUUGAUGGUAGCAACAGUAGUAGUUGUACUUAAAUUGGCACCAGAUGUUGGUGUUAUUGUCCACUGUAUCAUCAAUAGCAAUAAAUAAGUGAGCACGUAUAAAAUGGCCAUGCAUACAAAAUUUUAAAAUGUAGGCUUACCAGUUGGGUUGGGGGGGAUUGGCCAGUCUUUGAAGUACUUGGAAUCUGCAUAAUAAAAAUAUUCUUUAAUCAGUGCAAAUGUAACCAAUUCAAUUAUAAAUGCAAAUAAAAAAGGAACUCACUACCUUAGAGUCAAAUGGGAUAUAUGUUUUACUUGUUGAUACCCUUUGGCCAUUCCAACGUCCAAUACCACAUAGUGGGCCAGUGUUGUGAUCCGAACCCCUACCCUUACCUCUGUCUGUAUCUUUAUCUCUCAUUUUAGCUCUAGUUGGGCCUUUUACAGUAGUAGAAUUAGUUAUAUCAGCACUUCUCCUAAUACUUGGAAUCAAAACAGGCUCAACAUUAUUUCUAGAGUAGCCCCUACCAGCUCUCCAUCCUUGUUUAGUAGGUCCUUAUACCUUACAACACACCAAAAAGUGACAGUCAGAUGUAAGCAGAGAAAACCCAACAAGCAUAUAUUGAUUGAAGUUACUUGUGCAUUCGCUGGUUUCCUUUGCCUUACAAAUGAAUAGCCGGUGACCUUGAAACUUCUGGUAUUGUGGUCAGUAUGACCACAAUGAAUACAGUGAAUUGGUAGCCCUAUUUUAAACAGUUUUUCAACAUGUAAGUCCUCUAAUGGAGCCUUUCUUCUAACUUUCUUAGGUCUACCCAGGGCUAUCCUCCUAUGAGGUGGGAGUAAUGAAUAAUUGCAUGUGUUCAUCCAAUUUGCUUGGUCUGGCAUAGGCAUAAUAACUCCAGCAUAUGCCUUUUUAUAUGUUUCCACUGAGUAGUAACUAUCAACAUAUGCUUAUGGACUUUUGUUGUCUUGCAUAAGUCCAACACAUGUAUGGACACAUGGAAUUUCUAUCAUAUCCCACUCAUUGCAUGUGCAAGACCUUUGAACUGCAUAAACAACAAAAGUUCAUGCUAUACUAGUUACCUCAUAAACCUCUCUUGUAGACACAAGUGCAUCAAACUGAGCUAAUUGUUUUUUCCUCUCUUCAAUUUUCUAACAAAUUCUCGAACAAAUGUGAGACUUCACCUUCUGAAUCCAGUCUUUUUUUUCUUGAAACCUGCAUAUUAUCUGCCUUCGAAGAGCUUCAAACAUAGUCAAAACCGGCUCCUCCCUAACAUCCUUAAUGUAUUGAUUGAAAUUCUCACAUGUUAUGACUUAAAAUGUCACAUUUUACCCUUGGAGACAAGGUGAGUCUGGCCCACAGGUUAGCUAGUAUGGAACUAAGCCAUGCAUGUUCUUUUGAUGCUACUGUUUGAAACUCUCUCAUUUUGCUUUCAUAGUGACUGGGCAAAUAAGCCCUGACUAUUGCCCACAUUAUAUCUCUUAGAUGCUUAUCCUUGAAUUUUAGCUUGAAGUUAGCAUACAUGUGUCUAACACAGAAUCGAUGCUCCACUCCAGGAUUUAAUCCCUGACAUAAAAAAAUAAAUCACAUAAUUAGUGACAUGAGUGAGCAAGGAAUAAAUGAAAAUAAAAUAGAUUGCAGUGGUGCUGACCUUUUGUCUAUCUGACAAAAAUACCCAACCUCUUUCAAGUGGAGUUCCAAUGGCAUCAGUAAGGCUGUCCAAAAACCACCCCAACUAUCUUGGCACUCAGACUCAACAAGAGCAAUUGCAAUUGGGAACAUCUAGGUAAUAGCAUUCCUACCAAUUGCAGACAUAAGUUGUCCUCCCAUGAUCCCCUUAAGGUGACAUGCAUCCAGCCCUAUUACAGCCCUACAUGCAUUUACAAAACCUUCCUUUUGUGCAGUAAACAUCACAAACAUUCUUUUGAAGAUUGGGCUUUUACAAAGUUGGGAUUUUUUAGUUACAAUAAAUGCCACUCUUACAUGCUCUUUUUUCUAAGGAGUAUAGCACAAUAGUCUCUUAAUCUUGCAUACUGCUUUGCACAUGACCCUUUGACUGCUUCCUUUGCAUUCUCCUUUGCUCUAUUCAUUUGAGAGUUUGUACAAUUGAGGUUAUACUUCUUUUUUAUGCUCUUCUUGUACCCUUUUACUUUCAUACACGGAUGGUCAGCAAUCUCCUCCAUAAACAUCUUAGACAGCCACCUAGAAUUUGCACUCUUGUUCUUGUAAGACCAUGGACAUUCAUCAGGUAGGCCUUUAAUGGACUUCACUUGGAGUGUAACUUUGCUUCUAUUAUAGCCACUAGGAUAUAUUCUCCAUCGACAAUUAUUUGCACAUAUAACUAUAGCUUUAUCUUUGUCAUUCUUAGUGAAGGUAUCUUCAAAUCCAUUCAAAAUUGAAUACAUUCUAACUGCAGCUCUAAAAUCAUAAAUGUUGGUGAGAAUUCUGUCUACAGUCAACUCAGGAUUUUUUAGAUCCCUUUCCCUGUUAAACUCAGGAAAUUCAUGCUCCAUGGCUUCAUCAUUUGAAUCAUAAAUUGGUUUAAGCAUUUCAUCAUCACUAAUAUCUUCAUUAUCGACCAUUUUUCCUUUCACUUUGGAGUUAAUGUAUGUAUUAUAUUCUUCACUAAUCAGUUCCAUGUACUUAGCAUAAUCAGGUUGUUUUAGGUGACAAUCUACUUCACCAACAUCCCUCUUUACCUCAUCUAUAGGAUCACAUGCAUCAUUUAAACCAUCCCCAUUUAGGAAAAAAUCAAAGUCAGAGUCAUAUUCAAAUUCCCUACAACUAUCCCCUUCAGCUUCAUGUGAAGCAUCUGAAGUAUCACUUUCGGCCUCAUUAUUUUGGGGUUGUUCAGUAUUAGGAUUUAGAUUUUGUUCACCAUCAAUCUCAAUAUUAUCUUCUACAAUAAUUUCAUCAGUAUGCAUAUCUUCUUCAGGGAUCUCACCAACAUAAAGUUGUAUGAUAGUUUGAGUUCUAUUUGUCACAAACAUUUCUAGAACUGUUUGGUCACUGUUUAACAGUCUAAGACCAAACUGAAGGUCAAGAUUCCCAACCCUGUAAUACACUGAUGUUUCAUGUGAAAUUCCAACUUCUUUAAAAGCAUCUCUUAACUCAAAAAUUGACAUCAAAUCAGGGCCAACAUCAUCAAAAUUAGCAACUUCUCCCCCCACAUAUUGUAAAUUUGGGACAUGGGCAAAAUGGCCCCCAUAGUGAACCUCUAAAACAUAGGUUUUAAAAUCCAUUUUUUUGUAAUCACACAGAUAAAGGCAAUUGUUUAGUGCAUGCACAGGUAAUAUAAAGCAUACAUCUUUUAUUGUCCCCAUAAAAAAAAUCCUAGUUUGUCUAUUUAACAGUCGACGUAUAACCAACCAAAGUAAACAAAUAAUCCAGCAAAUUAAUAAUUAAAAAAGACAAAAGUUGCCAAAAAUCCAUCGUUUUCAUCAUAACCCGACAAUGACAAAACAACAAAACAAGGGACCACAGCAACAGAUGAUUCAAACAAUAAUUGUCUACCAUAUUAAAGGCCAUGAAGCCACUAAAAAAACCCUUACCUUGCUAUUGUUGUUUCUCUACAAUACAAUUGGUUAAAAACUAAAAGUUUCUAAGAUCAAGAAAAAAUAGCAAAGCCGAACCUUAAGGGCUGCCCUUGCUACAAUCUACUUCCAUUUCAAAUUCAAUUCUACCUCUGCUACACAAGUUCAUCGAUUGACCGAUUUUUCCAUUCAAUAUUCUGGUGAAUUUUCAAGUUCUUUAAUGGAGGUUUUGCUAAGAAUUCAGCCAAAGAAAAAAUGGCUGAUAGAGAAGAGAGAAAAGAUGACCGACAAUGACAAAAGAUAGGGAACAUUUUGUCUUACGAAUUUCUUUUUUUUUGUCCCAUGUGCCAGAUGGAGGGAAAUUUCCCUCCUCCAUUAUUCCAGGGUAAUUUUGGAAACUUGUCUUUAUCCCUUUAUAAACCUAGACAUAUGGGCAUUUUGGGUUGUUCAUUAUUUUCUUAAGGAUAUUACUGUUUUUUCAUUAUUUGGUUUAUCUCCAUUGAGGUUGACCGUUAGUCUUUAGGGUAAACUGAGGACAAACAAUGGGAGGUAAAUUGAGAAAUGACCCAUAUGUAAAGGAGAUAAAGUGCGAUUAACCUUAAAAAAAUGAUGUUAGGGGAUGAAGUGCAAAACAAGCUAUAAUUUAAGGAGAUAUGUCGUAGUUAGCUCUUAGGAGCGUAAAUGUCUUUUUGCAAUCAUCAUUACACAAUGUUAGAAUUGACUAAUGGUUUAGGGGAUAAAAUGAGAAAAAAUUAAUGUUAGGGGAUAAAGUACAAAAGUGGCCAUACCUUUGGGGGAGUUUUUGUGAUUAACCCUUUCUUAAAUCCUGUUUUGUUAAUAAGGAAAUUUUUUUUUUUAAAAAAAAAGGGUACAAGAACAGUAAGAUUUGAAAUUUGAGCCGUCCCUUGUGGUCUAGAGAGGUUGAAUUAGAUAGAAUAAAAGUCCGAAAGGGAUCACUGGCUAGAAAACAAAAAUUGUUUUCAUAAGAAAAAAAUUAUGUGGUGCCUUCAAACUAGCAUUUCCUCAAUUUGUGUAUUUAGAUGAUAAAAAUAGUUCAUCUAUUAGUAUUAGAAAUUGUUACAAUCUAGGGCCAAAAAUACUUCUUGGUAUAUUUAACAAUGAAUUUAAUUUGAAGGUACGAUACUCAAAAGUGAUGAUAGAAUCACCCUACUUUUGAUAGCACAAUUGCUCCUUCUUUGGUUGAGUAAAAUCCUUGGUCUGCACAGGCUAGAUACUGAAAAAGAGAGGAGACUUUUACUAGAAAUUUAGGAGUUAUAAAUUUGAGUGGAACUUUGACAUGGUUUUCACAAACUCCUAGUCUAGUUUUAUGGUCAUUGCUUUUAUGGAUAAUGUAGAGUCUAGAUCCAGAUUCCCGAGAUCUUUCAAGAUCGGCUAAUCUCAAUGCGAGUUUCCUGCAUAGUAAGCAAUAAAGAUAGGACUGGUUCUCCGGUUCAAUUCUGAUACUUAAGUUAGCGAGUGUUUACAAUUCGAAAAUAUAAAAUCAAUUCGAAGGUUUGGUAGUAGUUAACUUUGGAAAUGAAGUAGAGGGGAUAUUUAGAAUAGAGCUGGGGAACACCCUUAGGACAAGAGCUAUUGUGAUAGGACCAUAGUUAUCAAUCCGGCCCGGCCUGACGGUUUAACCGAUUAACCCGAUGAACCGGCCAUGAAAUCGGGCUGGGUUGUUAAUUGGAUCGUUUGUGCAAGAAACCAGUUGACUUGUCAACGGACCGGCAAUUCAACCGAUCAAUUUGGUUGAACCAAACGGUUUUGUAAGAUUCCAGUUGUUGUGUUAAAAAUUUUUAGAAGAUGUUGCACUAGAGAACUGGAGAAUUAAAAAUUUUUAGAAGAUGUUGCACUGGAGAAUCGAAUCUUGGACUUCAACCACAAGAAUGAAACGCGCUCACCACUGAACCAGCAAGUCAUUGGGUUCUUGUUUAGCCCUUCUAUAUUAUAUAUUACACCUUUAUUCUUAUUUUAUUUCUUCAAAACAAAAUUUGUUUAGAAUCAUUUAAUAAAAUUUUAUUAUUCCCCAAAUUCUAUAAGUUAUGAAUGAAUUUAAAAUAGCAUAUUACACAAUUCAUUUUAAAGACAAAUAUUAUUCUUAAUAACUUUUUGCACUUUAAAUUCGUAAAUAAACUAGAUAACUACACUUAGAUAAAAUGUUAUACUUGAAAUUUGGUGGAUUACUAAUUAAAUUUAGAUUUUGUUAAUUCUUAUAAGAAUUAAUGAUUUUAUAAUAAAUUGGACUAACUGAGUAUUUACCAUGACAUAGUUUAUUAUAGUUUCAACCAUAUUAAAAAUUAUAAAAUAUAAUAUUUAAGUAUAUUUAGUGACCCACUGGUUGGACCACUCACCCACUAGUUGAACCAGUAACCCGUUGAUCCACUUCUUUUACCGGGUUCCUCCUCGGGUCGGGUUUAAUAACUAUGGAUAGAACAGAGUGUAGCGAUAGGUCGGUUCUAGGUCUAUUAUAGCAGGAGGAUAGACUUGUCAUAGUCUAUAAAGUGUCAUGUCAAUCACUUCUUGUCAGAGAAAUACUCGACGGCCAAAACCUCAGCUAUAAGUAUAUUUCACCAGACAGAGGGUUCAAGGAAGGGGGAGUUAUCUCGGAAGAUAAUCCCAAUUACUACAGAUACUGGCAUUUAUAAUAUGCCACUCUAAGGGUUCGUUUGGGAGUGGAAGAUUUGGAUAGAAAAGAAAGGGAAAGAAGAGAAAGUUUACUUUUGCUUCAUUUGUUAGUUUUAAAUAGAAAAGAAAAGAAAAGAAAUGGAAAGAUGAAUAGUUAAGAAAAUGCUUCCUCCCAAAUCGGAAAGAAAUGGGAAGAAAGUUUGGAGAAAGCUUGAUAUUUUUUUUAAAAUGCCUAUUUUGUCCAUAAAAAGGUUUUGAUAAAUAUUUAAUGACUUUUAUGUCCAAAAUCAUUCCACUAAUUCUCAAAACUCCCAAACAACAUAACAAUCUCUUCCCUUCUCUUCUCUUCUUUCGUAACUUAAGCUUUCCCUUCUUUUCUUUUCUAUCCUAAACUCCCAAACUAAGCCUAAGUCUUUACUUAGCAGAUAAUGAAGGAAAUUAUGUUCCAUUCAACUGUAAUUGCAACUUCAUAGGCUUUGCUUUCCAUCAACUCGUAUUGGUACCGUCAGGCUUUGCUUAGCAAACAAUGAAGAUUCUCUUCUUGCUUUGUUUUUCCCCUUAAUACUUUAUGGUCUUGUUCUCGGUUGCUUUAUAUAUUAUAUCACUUAAUUAUGGAAACUAAUUAUACAGCAAAAUCAAAAUCAGCAAAAGCUACUCUUUGGGUGAUUUUGGAAUUAACCUUUUUUAGUAAUUAAAAAAUUUAUAAUCAAAACACAAAAAAUAUCACAAAAAUCGAUUAUCUAAAAACAGAAUCUAUAUUCAGUUAAAACAAUCAAUCGAAAACAGAUCCUAUGUUAUCUAAUCAUGGGUGAUUUUCGAAUUAACCAUUUUUAGUAAUUAAAAAAUUUAUAAUCAAAAUACAAAAGUAACUAAAAAUAUCACAAAAACUUAUUACCUAAAAACAGAAUCUAUAAUCAAUUAAAAUAAUCAAUCGAGAAUAGACCCUAUGUCAUCUAAUCUGUUCCAGGUAUCCUGUAUCGAUUUUUAUUGGUGACAAAUUUACAUACUUUGUUCGAAUGACAAUGGAUGGCAGUCGUUGGCAUUUUGGGCCAUUUUAGGUACAUAAUUUCAUUCAUCCGGCCAUGCUAACAAUACAAAGCAGUUUGAGCAACAAAAUCGCUUUUAGUUAAUAUUUCAAAGUCUGGAACUCUACACAUGAUUUUGCUUACUAUUUCAUGAAUCCGAAUUAAUUGAGUAAAUCAUCAAGAUUUUCAACUUUGACGGAAUUGAAAAUUGAAGUCAGUUUGUUGCUUGUACUUUUGAAGGAACAGGAGGGUAUGGAUUUUCCUGAACUUCGAGGGCUUACAUAUAACGAUACACAGAUGGAACUUGGGAAGCUUUGAAUUCUUGAACUAUUCAUUCCUCUACCAACUGAAUCGAUCUAAAAUUCACCACAUUAGAAAAUCAAUCGUCUCUUUUGAUUGGCUAACAAGAUAUUAUAUGCUGGUUUACAAAAGAAAAUGAAUAGGUAAACCGCCUAUAACAAAGGCAAAAUUUAUUACAAAGGGAAACACAAUAACAUUACAAAGAACAGGAAAAACAAAUCUCUUUUCCAGAGUUAUUGCAAAACGCAAGCUAAUAGACUAGUACUGCAUCCAAUUAGUAAAAAAGAACGUGUCAUGCAUUAGAGAGAACCUUUCAGAGCUUUCUUUCCAGUUAGUCAUCCAAUACUACUGGUUCCCAACUUUCCCGAUCCUCAUAUAAACAGGCCAAGUAGCAAUCUUUUCUUGUUUGCCAUCUUCAUUCCAAGCAAGGGUAAAAUCUUUCACCAAAUCUUCACCCAAGAGCUCAACCCCAUUUUCUUUUGCAGCUUGGUAUGCAGACCAUGAUUUUAUCAAAGUAAAAUACCCAUCCAAAUCGAUCAAUUUUUCCAUUUUAAGCUCAAGUGGCCCUGUGUUUUCAAGUCCAUCCACUGGCUCAAAUGGGAAGUCAAUGGUCCUGUAAUUUUCCUCCAUUAUCAACUUGGCCGGUGGCCCCCCAAAUGGAGCAGCACCAACGUAAUACAAUUUAGUUAAAAGGGUGUCAAGAUUUUUGUUGAUCCGUGGCAGAGUAUAGGACCAUGCUGCAAUUACUCCAUUGGGCUUUUUCAGAACGCACUUGACUUGUUGGUAGAAAGAUGGAAGAUCAAACCAAUGAAUAGCCGUAGCAAUGGUCACUAGAUCAACACUUGAUUCUGCUGCAAUACUUUGCUUAAGCUCAGCUAUAGACAUCUUCGGAGAGGUGCAAUGGUAUUUAAUAUUUGGAAGCUUCACAGCAUGUUCCAGUUGCGUUGGGCUUGUAUCUGUGGCUACCACAUUCUUGUAUAUCCUGGCCAACUGAUAAAAAUUCACCAAUAUUAUUCAAAGCCACAUUCACAUGAUUAAAGUUUUGUUCACAAAUUUGGGAAUUAUUACCUUAGAAAUUAGUUUACCAUAUCAGUUCAUAUUUCAUAUGGUUCUAUAAUCCCAUCAGACAAAACCUUCAAAUUGAGCUUUCAAGAAGGUAACCGGGAGGACCACUUUAGGGGAAUUUGUCUACUUCUAAAAUUGAGUUUUCCAGAAUCAUGCCCAUCAACAAUGAGGUAUCUAUUGAAAUUCAACAAAAUUUUUUCCCUAAAACAAUAGGUUGAACUGGUGAAAUGCCGUAAGAAUCUAAAAAAAAAAAAUUAUCAGUGAGUCCAAAUAACAAAAUCUCUAACAUAUGAAAUUUGUUUAAAAACUUGGGAAUCCUUGAAGCCAUGAGGCUAAUUCUCGUACACAAAUUAGAAAUAAGGGGAGGAAAGUGGUCUUACAGAUGUUGCAGCCUGGCCACUUCCUGUCCCAGCAUCCCAGACAAGGUCGUGACAAGGUGUCUUGGAGGCAACAAACUGGAAGAGCUCCUCAGGAUAUAUCGGCCGGCUGGCAGAGUACUCCUUCGCCUGCUUAACAAACCGCUCUGCCAUCUCUGUGGAUCGGUGGUGGGGGGUUAACUUAUAUGCAAAUGCUAGUAUUCUUUUGCUGUCUGAUGAGUGAGAUGAGUUGCAAGCCUCUGUGGCCCUUUUAUAGUGGCAAACGCUAGAUUCGGACUUGCUUAACCGCGUGUUGAUCUUUGAAUUUGAUUGGCCUAACCAAUUGGUUUAUGUUCUUCAGGUGCCAUCGCUAUCCAAAAUAGUCGUACGAAGCAGUUGGAGGUCAAAGGGUACUAAAACGAAGCAAAGUUCGCUUAGGCAACCUUCGAGCUGACUUGACCACCACAGAGGCAAGUGGAACGUCAUGGUUCAAAAUUUUAUCUUUAAUGACUGUUAUUUAAUGUGACUUUUUCUUUUCUUUUUUUUUUUUUUAUAACAAUGUGACUUUUUCUUAGACCUAGCCAAAUAGGAAAUGAAGGUUUCAAAUCUUGCAUCUUGAAAUUGCUACUUAACGUGGCUUUUUUUUUUAAGAUGCAUAAUACAUUAAUUUUAUUCGGUGGUAAUUUAAUCCCUUUCAAGUAUCUGAUAAUUGAUUUAAAAUUUUUCUUUGAACUAUAGGUUGGGGAUUUCAAACCUCAAACAAGUUGGCCACUACAAGGAAUUUAAAAUCCCUCUUUGGAUUAUGAGUCGAGGAGGAUUCAAACCCUGCACUCUACAAUUGAAUAAAUUCAAUGAGUGUGGUAGAGUUGGGAUAGUGUAGAUGUUGCCGGUUGACUAAGAAAAAAAAAAUAGGCAAUUAAAAGUGUAAUAAUUAAUUUUUUGACUGAUAGAAAUAUUUCCAAAAAAAAAAAUUGUCAAACCCACUAAUUUCAUAAUAAAUAGCAGUAACAAUCUAAAUAAAACUAACUGCUAAUGGACCUUAUUGUCAAUUGCGAGCAUUAGUAAGGUUAGACUUGAAUGUUAGGAUGCAAGUUUAGUGGAAGUGGUAAUUAAAAGGUCUCAAGGCACCUGGUAGGUCAAAGUCAUGGCGGCUCUUUGUCUGUAUCCUAAAGUUUUCCGCGUGAACAAGUCACUGCUGUUUCUGUGAUUGCAAAGAACUCUUCACAACCCUUUUUUCUUUUUUUUUUUGGAUAGAAAGAGCGAAACAUUUUAUUAAUAUCAAACUAAAUCUGCUUCAAGAACAGAGAUAAUAAAACAAGGUGGAGAGUCAGUCCACAUACAAUAAUCUGGGAUUGAUAAUGCAUACUUAGCUAAAAGGCGAGCAACCUUACUGUUAUUUCUAAGAGCCCAAGAAAUCUCCCAAGCCAAGAAAUUGUGCAAGCAAAAAAAAUGACGUCUUCAAUAAGAAUACCAGAGUGAGAAUCAUCGGGUUCAAAGUUUUCAGUCAUCUUGAUCACAACUUAUGUUAGGUAUCACAGAUUUAGGAUUUCUGUUAGUACUCAUAGUGAGACCUAUGCAGUUUAAAUGAGGUACAGAGAAAUGGACAAGUGGUUAUUUACAGACAAAACAUUCUUUUACUCUCUUGAUUGCUGCUGUAUUAUAUGCCAAAAUGCUGUCCUUCUUAUGUAUGUAUAAUAAUGCAUCACAACACAUGAUAUCAUAAAAAUGCCAAAAUAAAUAAUCCCACAAAAUUUUCCAAAUAGUCUUUGCUCCGAAUGAACCCAAUAUGGCCUCUACAAUACACAAGGUAAGGUGGCAUUGCCAUGUUUAUAACAUUCUAGCAAAUUAUUAUUUGCUGCAAACCCAGAAACACGAGCCAAACUUGAAUCAGAUUCAAAAGCAAAAGAUUAGUAACACAGUAAACAAGACAGAAUAAAGCCUCACUUAAGAGGAAGAUGUUGAAUUGUCUGCCAAAAACUUCGAACAUGGCGAAUUGGAUAAUCAUGAAGCAUACACAAUUUCAUUGCAGUAAAGAUUUCUUUACUUUCAUACUGUGCAUCUUUCUAAUCAUUUGACAUGAAUUAUCUCCAUUCAAUCACAGCUUCUCCCAUAAUACGAUUAAAAACACCUUUACAGAACAAAACAGCAGUCCUUUCCCUCUAUUUAAAAACAAAUAGAACUUAAUAAGCAAUUACUUUGGGAACAUACACAUAAAAGUCACCCGCUAGAAGCCAGGGCAGACUGCAAGACUUCUUCAAGGUACUUCUCGGCGGCAGCAUAUUGCCUCUUUUUAUCCUCAAUAGCUAAUACAGCCAAUGCUUUAUCCUGUGAAAAAAUAAUCAAAACGUAAGAGGAGAACGCAUAAUUGCAACUAUAUAAAAUCAUUAGAUAAAAAGAUGAGCUUACAGGCGGCAAGUCUUGAUAGCUUCUCAAGGUGUCAAGUAUAGGUUUUGUUUUUCUCUCCAAUUCCUUUCUAUGCUCUGCCAUUUCGGCCAAAACUCCAUGACUUAUCUCUGGACUGUAUCCCACACGAUUGAGCAUCGCCUGCAUUACAAAUGUAAAAUUCUAAGAUAAAAGUACCACCUGCACAAAAUCCUAUGAUUUGGUCAAGUCUCUGGUCUGGUGCUUAGUCGUACUUACAAGGUUACUUUUAUUGGUAGGUGAGAAUAAGAAAUCACUCAAAGAAGGCAAAGAAGAACUAAGAGAAAGCAAAAUUAGCAUAUAUUUUCCAUUUAUAUUAUUUACUGUUGGACAACUAGGAAGGAUGCAACUUCAAAACAGAACCAAAUCCAAAGAUGAUGUUCGUUAUCUCAAUAACACAUGAAACCUCAGAAGGACAUAUACCAAAUUCUCAAAGGCAAAAUUUACAAACAAUGACACAUAUAAUAUGAAACAUUACAGAUAAUAGUUUGACCAAAACACCGUAAACUUGUGUAUCUUUUGGUUCUAACACCUUUGAGUAAGAGCAAGAAACUGGUAUUUCAUACCAGUUAACGAUAAAUUACACUAACACCUAAAAUGUAUCAACUUAUCAGCACUCACUUGCCUAUAGAGUAUGCCUUGACUACAGUUCAUAUCAAUGAGGAAAAAGGAACAGAACAAAGAGUACUAAAAUCAGCAAUAUUUUCCACAUUAAUGCACCUAAAGAAACAUGUCUAAACCUACAGUUCAAGCACAAAUCAUGAAUCAACUGAAUAUAGCCUACCUCAACUAUAUGGUUGCAGGUCACUCAACACUAAAAGCCAAUGCAGUUGAUCUUAUGCUACAGAAGUAAAGUAUUGAGAUGACAUGUGUCAGCUUAGCAUAAACAAAUACCUAAAAGGCCCUAUAAGAUUAAGCAAAAAGAUCUGUUUCUUACACAUCUUAAAAGAAGAUUUAGAUUUUAACAUGAAGAAAAUAUCUUUUUGCUUCCUGAAACUUUCAGUUUAAUUUGCAAGAACUCAUGAAAUUAAAGACUAUGAUACAAUAACUGUUGACAAAAACACGUAGAAAUAUUAUAAAUCAGUUAUGUAGGUUAAAGCAAAACACAAGUAUUCAUUUUGGUUACCAGACAGUUGCAACAUUUAAAUUAGUGUUACCUGAAGCUUCCAAGGCCAAGAAGGCCACCUUUCCAUGAGAGGAUUGUCACCUAAAUAUGUCAUAUGGUUCUUACCAUAUCCUCUCCUAUCAUCAAUAACGGCUUUAUAGUAAAUCCCUGGCCAUCAUUUAUCUCUUGUUCCUUUAGAGUUCUUCACUUGGAAGGAUAACGAAACUACUACAGAAGCUUUAGAUUUAGGCAAAGACUGUCAAAUAAACUAUUUACUUUUACUCAUCUAACAGCUUGAAAAGAAGAUUUAACAAAGAAGACAGAAUCUAAUGCUAACAGCUAACUACUCGUACCAACCCCAAGCUCCAAAUCAAAGCAGCCAAGUAAUAUCAGACAUUAUCUACCAACGUUAGCAGCCAUUACCACAAAACUUGUUGAAAAUCAACAAGACGCCCUCUCUUACUAUGAAAACAGACAGGAUUGGCACUUUAUCCUCAAAAAUUCUGAAAUUCUUAGGUCAACUACACCUGAUGCCAUACCAAAACCUUAACAGAUUCCAUCUCCCACCCAAUAGAAGGCUAUUCAUCUUAUCAUCUCCCAUUUCUUUUCACUGCUCUACCAAACAGCACUGAUUAUUUGCCUCUUUUAAUUGAAUAUGCCAGAGUAAUUUAUAUGCUAAGAGCAAAUCCUUGGAACAUGGAAACAAUUACAUCAUAACCCUAAGAAAUAUCAAGCAAAAGUUUUCCAAGCAGAAAAUCAGAAAUAUCCUGCUCUAUACACAACAAAUUCCAAGAAUUUUGAUCCUGAAAAAACUGUGAAUCUCAUCUAACCCAUAAUCCACAUAACUUCUAUGCACCUUUUUAACCAAUUUACAUUCUGUCCCCCAACGAAGACUACAAACUUAUAAGACCAAUAUAAAGCACACUAAGAAUCAUUUAAAUAUGCUGAUCAAAGAAGGUAACAGUGUUUGGUGCCCUGUAUCCACUCUUACUUUCUGGAAAGAUAUACAACUAUAAUUCAAGCAGCUCCCUGAUUCCCCUUCUACAAAAGGCUAAGAGCGUUUCACCAGAAUUAUUCAAUAUCAUCUCAAAAUGCACCAGUAAGCCCAAAGUUCUGGAUUCCAGCAGGUAUCAAACACUCACCCAUUUUAGCUUCUUGCACAUCAUUUAAGUGAUUUUUGACACCAAAUGACAAGCAUGUAAACUAAGCAAAACACCUAGUAGGGGUGUGCAAGAAGCUAAAAAGGCUGUGAGAAUUUCAUUGCCCCUUAAUUUAUAGCUAAAAUUUCAAAAAUCCCACUGCAUCGACCCUAAACUCGUUUUCCAAUUUCACGUGAUUUAAAAAGUACAGACAAGAUUAGGAAAAGAGGUAUUCGUACAAAAAUAAUUAAAAAGCAAAAUACAUGCUGGCGUUAUUCCGAAUAUAGAGGCUUUGUACACAAAGUAGGAUUAACCAAAAUAUCAGCUGCCAUUCCACAGAGAUAUAGCUCGCCAACCGCCAUUGAAAAUUUUUGUGACAUCCAGCAAAUAGAUACAUUAAUAAAUAAAAAGGAAAUUAGAAAAUGCAGUCUCAUAAGCCAGGUAGAAACCACAUUGGAAAAGCAUCACAUAAUCAUCUCAUCUAUUAACCAUAAAAGAAAACUUAUCUAACAUUUAGAAAUGGUAAAGUUCCCUAAAGAAGAUACUACCUUGCAGUUAGAAAACUGUUUCUCAUACUGGCGCUCUUUCGAGUCCAUAAUAGCCAAAUUUGUUCUGCGACUUUCCAUUUCUGCUUCACAGGGAGCUAUAUCGUCUUCCAGUUGUGCAAGUAUUCUACAAACAAACACAGGAUUAGGAAUGUACAAAUUGACCACAAAGCUCAACAUUGACUAUUGCUCCUAGAGAAAAUCCAAGCAAAGGAACCUAAAUUUUGUCCAGAUGGUGCAUAAGAAGAUAUACCUUUUUAAAUAAGUCAACCUUGAGAUUGCCUUGCGAGUAAAAUCGAGGAGUACUUUUGACUCCUGCUGCACUUUAGACCUCUUCUCUUCUACAGCAGUUUUCCUUAAGGAAAGAUCUGCCAUUGCUACAAGGAAACUAAAAUUUCCCCCACAAGAUAAGCUCAUUGGCACUUAAAAUGGAAUACAUAAUUGAAUUAAAUUGGGAAAAAAAAACUCACCUACUUAAUUCAGUAUCUCUGAUAUUCAGUAAAUUAGCUACACUGGCAAGAACUUGUGCAGAGGACACCACAUUUGAUGGUAAACUCUCUUGAGCCAAACCCACAUGCUCCAAUAUCUCUCGUAUCCUCGCAGCUACAAUCACAGAACAAUAAACAUUAGAGCCAAUAAAAUGAAACAACGUCCCAAAGACUAAUGCAGCCAUUUUCCUUCUAUUUCUGACUGUGAAGGUCAGUAAACAAUACUUCCUAUUACAAGCAUGGCUGCACACAGUUAAACAUCAUCGUUAAAUUAACAACACUGGUUUAUAAUAUGAUAUCUAAAACUACAAGAACACAAAAUUUACUGUAAUUAUAUAUAAACAUGGAAUAGAAAUUUAAGAAAUUAAAUGAAGGCAUAACAAAAGCAUAUGUCGAAGAAUCAAGGACCUUGGGCGCGAUAUUCAGUUGCUUUCUGGCGAAAGUCAUUGGCAACAAUAGAAGCAGCUUGAGUUUUGGCUUGGGAAAUGGUGGCAAUGUUGUGCAAAUGAGCAAUGCUUCUAGGGGUGUACUCAAAUUCAGGGACUUCUUUUCCAACUGCACUGAAUUGGGAUUCAAGCCAUGAUUUCACUUCAGCAAUUCGAUUCGCAUCGAACCCACUACUGCUAUUCUUUGAUGCUUCUGAUGUAACAGAGGGCGAAGGAUCUCCUCCACCAACAAUUUCACUCAUUUCUCUUCUUUUUCCCCUCAGACCUAUAAGAACAAAAUAAAAUUAACAAAUUAGAAAUCAGAGAAAUCAAGAUCGGAAAUUUAUGGGACAAAUAGCUGUUUAAAAGUUAAGAUGCAAAAACCCAUUUUUGGGAUUAGUUAUCUGAAAUGCUUUUUCCCAAAAAAAAAAAAGAAAAAACCAUGUUUUAACUUUUGAAUUACUAUGGAACAACCACAUUAUACGAUCUAACAUAUCAAAAAAAAAAAAAAAGAAGUAAGUACUAAUGCUGUUGAAUUCCUUAAGCAGGGACUUUGAGUCAGUAACAAAUGACUAAUCAAAGAAAAAAAAUUCAUGAGAAGAGGCCAACUAUGGGGAAAUGAGGUGGACUUGGAAGGUUACUUUUGAGGUUUUCUCAAAUGGGUCCGGGAAAUUUUGAGUAAAAAUGAAGUUUUUAAGAUGAAAUUUGGGUUCUUAAUCAUAUGAACCCCAAAUAUACAUAAAGUUACUGACCAAAAGAAAAUCUGCACACAUUUGCAGAGACAGAGAGAGGGAGAGAGCGAGAGGGAGAGGGAGCGACUUGAUGAAGAAGUCUAUUGAGUGGAUUUGAAGUGAGAAAUGCCGGCUUCAGAGAUUAUUUUAAACGGCUUUUCACAGAGCACAACCUUUGCUUUUGAGAAAAUUGCUGAAAUAGUCUCUGAUUUUUUUGAAAAAUCAGACUUUGGUCUUGAAUCCAUAAAACGUAUUUUAUCACGAAUUUUGUUUCUUUUUUUUAGGUAUUAUCUUCAAAUUUUAUGCCAAGCUAUUUUCAUAACAGUGGAAGAGAGUUGUACGCUUGUCCUAUCUAUAAUUUGAAGAAUUUUUCAAAAUAUUUGUAUUUUACGUUCCGAACAAGUUAUUUUUAUAGUCAGUUACAUUUAUAUUAUUAUAUGGUGUUUGUUAAGAUAGACUAAUACAAAAUUACUUUUAUUAUUACAAUUUAGGGCGAUAAUUAAACUUUUUAUUUUCUUUUUAAGAACAAAGAGUGAUUGCUAGCUUUCAAAUCAAGAAAUUUAACUCUUUUAUCCUUCUUUUUUUUUUAGCUAAGACCAUAGACCAAUGAGCUUUAAUUCUUAAUCACAAGUUAGUCCAACCAAUUGUUAAAAAUCUCUAACAUUAAUCAUCUCCAAGGAUUAGCAAAGCAUUAUUGGUUUGUCCAGUUCAUUAUUGAAGGAUAGAUUUUCCCGUUAACGUCAUUCUUUAAUUUAACAGCUCAAAAGCCUUAGUGAAGCUAGUACUGGUUUGUUCAGUUCUUAUUGUAAAUCUGUAUGAAAAAUGUUGCCAGUUUGUAGUUACAUGUACAACAACAGAUAAGGCCGUUGGACGUGUGGAAACAAAUUAGGCUCAUGGGAGAUACAUUACAGAUUAGGCCGUUGGACUGGUUUGAGGCAGCUCCUAACCAGGCAUAAUUUUGCAGACUUUCAUCUUGGAGCAACAAUCCUCACAUUUCGCCUCUGAACUGUCCUGCAGAAAAAUUGAAAUUGUGUACUGCAUGGCCGUUUUCGCUAAGACUUCUGAUAAAAGAUUUUGAUCACCAUUAACAAGAUCAAAUACUUCGAUACCUUUCAAUCUCAUAAACAAUACAAGGAACUUCCAUAUGAAUCUUCCCAGUCCAAAUAUAACCUAGCAACAACAUGCUCAAAUCAGCCUUUACUAACCAGCUAAUAGUUAACAGAAAGAUAUCGCCAUCCAGUUAAAUCGCCUGAUGGAAGUAAAGGAAUGGAUAUAAAAAAGAAAAAAGCAGCAAAAGCAAAUAGAACAAUCCAUAGUUAAAAGAAAGAGAGAGAGAGAGAGAGGAAUCUGCAAUUAAAACAUUAACAGUACAUAAGAGUUGAUAAACUUUCUGCAGCACUUAGAAGAAUUUACAGGACUAUUACAGUAAUAUUUAGCAGUCUACAGAUAGCAUCUCUACAAACAUUCAGGGCAAGAUUGAGCUCAACAUCUAUGAUCACCAAACACAUCUGUAGGUAACGUGCGUCUCAGUGAUCUCGUUAUUGUAGGUAACCUUCAACACCUGCCCCUUUUCAAGUCCAUAGUAUCGAGCGAUUGCAUCUUUUUGCAACAUCCGCGGGAGCUGAAAAAUGGUUUAGUGGAUAUGUCAGAGAAAUUCCGAUUUAAGAAUGAAAUAACAGCUGCCUCAGAUUUUUUUUUUUUUUGGUUUUUUUGGGGGGGUGGGGGUGGGGGAAGAUGAAGCUGCCUCAGGUGAAAUCUCAGACAAAAACUUCACAUUGGAAGUAUUUUUAACGUUUUCAGAAAGCAUAUACAACUAGUCCGGGAAUCGAAAAUCUUGUCUGAGGAAAGAAGAAAUGAAUAUCAGAUGUUAUGAACCAUAUGCCCUUUGAAAAGAUUGGAAUAUUUCAAUAAGAGUACUUAAUAAAGAAGCAGAUGCUGAUAAAAGAAUAGGCAGAAAACCAAAUAAAGAUCCACAAAAUGAUAAAAAGUGGAGAAUAAUAAACAACUUAGAUGUAUGGAAAGAUACAAACAUUGUCUCCAGAGAAGCUCUCAGAAAAUGUGACUUGGGGAUCAAUAAAUCUUAUCAAUCAAAUAUGUAUGAGCAGAAUCAGCAUUUCUAGGUUGAUGACGAAGUACAUCAUUUAUUCAGAAUGAACAUCAAGAUAAGUCAACCAGAUAAUUUUACAAAUUAGAACCCGGGGGUACAUUAAUACCAAGAAACAUUGGUUUCUCACUAUACCAUCAAAGAACUUGAAAGGUUGCAGCACAUUUCUGAAACUUUAAGAAAAUGUUGCUGCCACAACAUGCUGCAAGAACCAUGUUCUGCACCUAGAGAUGUAAAACUAUAAGAAAACAAAUUCUAUAUCACUUCCAUAAUAACACCAACCUGUUUGUCCUCUAUGUUAUACUUCUCAAGAAGCCUUUGUUUCUCUUCUUCAGUUAGCAGUUGAUGCUUUGGCUUCAAAACGUGCUUGGUGACAUUGACAAGCAAGUCAGUAAUCUGAGGCAUGGCAAGAUAUUAGCCGCAUGACAUGGAUUAUUAGUCAAAAAUCAUAAUACAUAUUCAAAUCAUUGAGUAAAUGAGGCUUCCACUUUGAUCAACGUCUUGCUUUGUCUGGGACUCUUGGGAGAUGAAAGAAGCACAUUUAAGUGUAUCUUGUAUUGUUUUCAAAUAACCAACUUAGCUUUUUGCAAGAACAUCUGGUCAUAGGAGAGUGUCAGUUCUAGAUAUCAAUAUAAGAAAGCAGUGGCCACUGAAAUAUCUCCCUCUUUAUCAUCUUGGAAAGUCAUUCACACCAAAACAAAGUAACAUUCAACUCUAAGAAGUUUUAAAUACUUUUCCCAAUUAUAGCUAUUAACAAUGCUAGAAUAGAGUAUGCAAGACUCGCACAUAUAAAUAAGCUUACCCAACAAGUUCGAUUUUUGACUAUACCUGGUUGGGUCCGUUCAAAUAGAGUUGUUGGCUUCAGAACAAAGAGACAGGUAGAGGAUGAAAACGAAGAACUGACAACAGCCCUAAUAAUUUAAAAGCCCAAUUAUUUUGGAAAAAAAACAUUCAGGAACAAAUACAAGGGUUGCCGAAUUCUUUGAUGCACUUUCUAAAAUCACAAAAAGGGAGUGACAUAUAUUACUCACUGCUCUAUCAGAGGCUUAGAGUUGAAAAAAUGGUUGCAGACGACAAAGAGAGCAUGGAGGAAACUGGAAUUAUAGGCAAGUACCAAAUAGAGUAGCAAGUAAUAAAGACUGGAAGAUGAUUGCAAUGCAAAGUUGUAGUGGCUAUAGCAUGCUGAUUCAUUGGCACAAGCAACUUUCACGAUAUGAAUGCACGGUCUGUUUCUUUUUCUUUUUCCCUCUCCAAGCCUGUAUAUUCCAAUUUUUAUCCACAAAAUCCAAACUCACCUUACACCAAAUGAAUGACAAAAUCAUGUAUAGUCUUAAAACAGCUUUGAACAUGCUUAGAGCUUCCUUGAGUAAUUAGUACAUUCUAACGUAAAAUGGAAAAGUAUCAUAAAUCACAUGGAAAGCAUAAACCUCCAAGUGCUCUAAAUUUUUUUGCUGGAAAGUUCCUUCAUUUCACAGGUUCCUUGAGGAGAGGGUACGCAAGCAUAUUGACAGCAGCAGCUCAAAGGCCAAGCAUUCCCAAAUACCAAUAUAUUCAAACAUAAAUGGUAAAUGCAAACAGUGAAAAGAAGGCAACCAACCUGGAAAAUCUCAACUUUGAAAGGCAAGAGAUCCACAGCUUUCAUAGCCUGGCUGGUUAUGUGAUUUUGCACAAUUAGUAUCAGCCUACUUAGAGUGUCUUUGUUCAUGAUUUGGUUUGCAAUACCACGAAUUACAUUUACUUUCACCACAUUAGGCCCACAGAAAAGGACUAGAAUCUGCAUUCAAGAAUUCAAAGAUCUCAAUAGGUAUCCCAAUUUGAUGAUGGUACAUAAUUUCUAAAUAUAAAAGAAGCAGACAACAUUCGACCAAAUAAUAAUCUUAACUUCAGCAUCUUAAAUCUAUAAAGAAACCAGAGGCAGUGCUGUUUAAGGGCAUAUUCAAGAAUUUGUCCAAGGCAUGUCAAGAAAAGGGGAGUACACUUCUACUUCUCCCAAUCUUGACCUAUCAUCAAAUGCAGAAUAGCCAAAUCAGAAAGAGAUAGACACACACACAUGGAACCACAUUAUCCCUCCUAUUUCAGUUCCUAAGAGGCUUGAAGAUUGAGCAUAUAAAACGUGAAGAGCUAAAGAAACAACAAGAAGAAGCAAAGGAAUUUCGAAUUUAAAACUAGCAAUCAGAUACAUAUCAAAAACUACUUUGUUUUUUAAACUCACAUAAAGAGCAACUGAAAUGAAUAAAAACAAAAGAAAAUGCAUGAAAAAACAUUCCUUAUAAUUACUUCAAUUUCCACUAACCAUUAACCAAGUCGAGAUUUCUAUCACUCGAACAAAAAAUACCAAGAAAGGGCUAUAAUCAAAAGAAAAGAAAGGUGCAAAGUAACUAGGCGGACAUCGUGUGCAAAGUAACUAGGGGGACUUCGCAAUAUGUCCAUGGUACUAUUUGACUCCUGACAAUCAGCCAUUUCAGACCAUGCCACAUUGACAUAGAUGCCAUUGUCUGCUUCAGUCACAUAUCAAAGCAUCAGGACCACAGAUGUUCUUCUCCAGUUCCAGAUAAAUGCUAAUUCUGAAAAUAGUAAGAAUCAGACCUGAUGUUAAAGAACCAGAAGUAGAAAAACUGAGGUAGGCUUUCCUAUGCUGUAGUUAAAGACAGUUCGAAACAUUUAACAUGUCAUUUUCUGAAUGGAACUUCUGUGGGAUGAGUGAACAAAUUUCUGGAACAGAUAAAACACACAGAACUUGCUUAAAAGUGCUGCACUCAUGAUUCUGCAGUGGCUACUUCCAAUUCUUUUUCUUGAAACAUAUUUCAAGUGUGACUUGGGUACGAGGUCACAAGAAAAAUGUGCUGUCUGAAUCGCAGAGAGCUGUUAAUUGAGCAUUUGCAAUCUUGUAAUGCAUCUUUGUUAUCUUCAGGGCAUUCAUAUCUUAAAUCAGUUACUAAAUCUCCAAUCUCUUCAGUGAUUUCAUUGCAACCUUCAUUUAGCAUUUCCAUUCACCCAUCUUGUCAAUCUCAGAAUUCAUAGAGGAAGAACCAAUGAUCUUUUCUGGAAGAUCAUGAGCUGCAGGCUAUGUUUUAACCUCACAAACAUCAAGUGUAUCAACAGUAGGUCUUCAUGGACUCUAUUGCAGAAACCAAUAAGAAGGAUUCUAGAGGUUUAGCUGGUCUAUCAAACUAAGUCAAGACAUCCCCAGCUAUCUGUUUAACUUCUAUCUUUUUCUGUGAGUGCCAACUCCAGUUUUUCCAACUCUCUUCAGCCUGCAUGCAUAGCUUAAUUGCUAUACCGGUAAAUUCAUCACAGGAUUCCAUUUACUGCAUGUCAUUGUUAUUAUUUUAUGACAGCAGGUUUAGGGCUUAAAUUAAUGAGCUUAGAUUCAAUCGAAUCUCAAAUAAACCCUCAAGAUUCCACCUCAAUUAGGUCCUCAAAUUGGAUGGCUAGAUUCAGGGAUAACACUACCAUAAUUCAUUCAGAUGGAGGAGUAUACGCAAAGUUGAAACUGUACAAAUUGGAAAGAAUCAUAAGACCAAGAUUUCAAAGGAAAUAAUAAUAAUAAUUUAAACAGAUAUAUCCAGCAUUCCAGCAAAUGGAAUAUAUCCAAUAUUUCAGACAUUUGAUGGGCCAAAUUUGAAUUCCAUUAGAAAGACGGUGAAGAAAAUUAUAACUUAUCUUGAAGGCACUAAAAUUUCUAUGACAUGUGUGAACCCUUUUAAUUCCAGUAAAAUUUGAAGAAUAUAGUUCUCAAGCACAACUUUGAUGUUCUCAGAUACAUUAAGAAAUCAAAACCUACAUAACCAUUCUAACCUAAGCAGCAUUGGUGAUUCCUCAAGGCUCAGAGAAUUGCUUUUCCUUUCUUGGCAACUGUCUUAAGAGCAUUUCUCAUGUCCAGCCAACCAUCUCUGUAAAAUAUGAGUCCUUUUCAUCUUCUUAUUAUUUUGGCUGUCAGACCUUUCUCGUUAUGAAAGACAUUUAAUGAGACUUGGUAACAUAGGUUUUACAAAAAAAAAAAAAAAAAAAACUGUUAAACUCUAACAAAGCAAUACUUUGAGUACUUCCUUCAAUUUAAAUUGGUAGUGUAGACAGCAUAGAGCAAAACAAUAUCAUGUACAAAAAUCAUGCCAGUAUGGCUGUUCAUGCAAUUCCGAGGUGACUGAAUCGGUCUACAUCAAUAUCUGACAUUGAAAAACUCAGGCGCAAAUAUCUACGAGCAGGGUAACCUUUUCACAAGGAGCAAUAACAGAUUGGUGAAUGUGAUAAAUGAAGAGCUUUAUUCGCCAUGUUGAUUAGAGCCAGAGAAAAUAACAGGAAAAGAAGCACAGUUGAUAGGACAACAAUGAGGGAAAAAAAAAAAAAAGAAACAAUUUUCAUCUAAAGGUGCUAGACUUUAACAAAAACAAAAACCACGCAAGUCUUGAGUUCUAGAUUUUUGAAAUAUAACAGAUCAAGAACUAAUAACUUGUCACAGACAGACUAGGAAUUCAUUAUUGACAUUUCAUCAUGAAUGUUAGCAACCUAACAAUAGGCAAACGUUUCACAACUUGAAAGAUACCAGAACUCAAAAUCUGACCUUGUUAGAAGGGUCAUCCUUGUGAAGAGCAGAGAUUCUCAGGCGAUCAAUGUCAGGCUGUUGGCCGUAGUUAUUACGGAAGUCUUGAAGAGAGAGUCCAAUCUCCGAAUUGGGUACGAGAAAACCACGGUCCCUAAGCAUUUCCAGCACAGUUCGGCGUGACAAGUAGUACCUAUGAGACUCUAUGCUACCCUCAUCGAUAUAGCUACUCAAACACCUCGGGUAACUCUCCCCAUCUACAUCCAUUUCCAUUUUCCCACCGACAUCCAUAGCUUUUCUCACCGGGUUUUCAGCUAGGCAAGUUGUGCUCUUUUUUUCUUCUUCCUGAAUGCAAGAAAGCAUUAACCAUUAAACUCAGGGCAGUUCGACAAGGGCAAUUAUAAUAGGGAUUUCCACCUUAUCCUUAUUUCAAUUGUCAAUGAACCUCUUCGAAUUAACAGCUAAAUAAAGUAAACAUUUAACCAGAUAAAUAAUUACCAUUAGCAGAAGUCACACUAAACCCUCUUAGAUUUUUAUGCCAUUAGACCGUGUAUCAUCAAGAAUUAGAGUAAUUUUGUCGCAGGCACAAAUACCAUAAACAUAUUCAAGCAGAUUACACUCUCUUCCCAAAACUAAACUAAUGCAUUUCCAUACCAAAAACAGAUUAGAAACUAAACAAUCAACCAAUUAAGGGAUUGUAGCAACUAAUAUCUAACUUUCAAGAAACCAAAACAAAAAAAUGCUUUUAUCUUGCUGGAGAUAAAAUGAUACACAAAAAGGCAACACAUUGGAGAGAAAGAAGCAGAACGAAAGAUGUUGGGAGAAGGAGAAAGUGAGGGAGCUUGCCUGUGCCGGUGAUCUCUUGCAGUAAUGAGAAUUGAGCGUAGGGUUUAAGCCCUUGGCCUUAAAAGUUAAAACCAGAGACCGUGGUCGGAAAAUGGACAAAAGGUUAAAAAAAAAAAAAAAAAAAGAAUUUACCUAGCAUUUUGAGACUGUCACUAGGUACUACCGUACUAGCAUUAUAUACAUUGUGAUUUUGAUUUUUUUUUUUUUACUACUCUUACUAGCAUCGCAAUACUAGUUUGUUUGGAAUGAUUUGGAAAAAAAAUUCAAGUUUUGUUUUGUUUGUAAAAAUAAUACUGUAGUAUUUUUAUUGAUAAGGUGGGUGUGUGAUUAAAAAAAUUGAUUGAAAAGAUAAAAUGAUGAUUAAAAAUAUAUUUAUAAUACAGUAAUAAAAUUUUUUUAAUGAUAUUAACUAUGAAAGUGAAACAACAUGUUAUAACGAUGUGUUUAUAUAAUAAAAGACAUAUAUAAAUAUAAAAAAUAUUUCUAUAAAAUCUAAAAAUUAUCUGUGCCUAAACAUUUAGGAUAAGUGAGAUAAUAUUUCUUUUUUUCUUUUUGCAAAAGGAUGGAAUAAGGUUAAGUAUAGAGCUAGUGAGAUAAUAUUUCUUUUUUUUUUUGGGCAAAAGGAUGGAAUAAGGUUAAGUAUAGAGCUAUCAAUAGGGUUAGAUCAACAACAAUCAACUUGAAAUAAUUAAAAUCAAGCCUUACACUUCAUUAGGUUUGGUUGAGUUUAAACUUCAAAAUGAGCCCCAAUUAAAUUAAAUUGUGAGUUGACUUUAUACUUAAUGAGGCUCGAUUCGAUUAAAUGUCAACCCAACCAAUUAAGUACAUAAGUACUUAUUUUUUUAAUUCACUGUGAUGUAUAUUAUUUAAUAAUUAUACAUUAUAAUGUACAUAAUUUAUAUAAUAUAUAUAUAUUGAUUAAACAAAAUAAAUAUUAUGUAUACGCCAUGUAUAAAAUUAUAGAUUAGUUGUGAGCUUGUAUCGGACCCAAAUUAGGCCUGAAACUCUUGUAUUUUGAUGAACCAUGUAUGAGUUUCACACAACAAACUUGAAGCCCAAGUUCAAAAGCCCGAAAAUUAUAUUUUGGUCUGUGAGUUGAGUUUUAACUUUUCAAAAUCCGACUCAUAAGACUCGAUUGACACCUCUAAUUAGGUACGAUAGAGUUGAUUAUUUAAAAUUGUCUUUGCACCUUAUUUUUUUUAUCCUUUUUAGAAUAUGGCUAUAAUAUAACCUUUUAAAGAACAUUUAACGAAUUUUACCCUCAACUUUUACUUGGCCCCCUCCAAUUAUUUUUCCAGCGCAUACCCCACUUUUCAUUGAGGGACAAAUGUGUACCGAUUCAUUUUGUUAUUAUUAUUAUUUUUACAUACAUGUGCUUGGCUUUUGUUGACACAGAAAAAGUUGAUCACAAAAUAUAAUUUAGGCUUGUUGACAAAAAAAAAAAAAAAUGUCAGCAUAAGUAGCAAAUAAAUAUGAUACUAAUAAAGAUGCCUCCAUUCAAAUCCAACAACAAACAGACUUCAUUUUAAUUAAUUACAAUCAAAAUCUUGCAUAAAAAAAAAAGAGUCUUAUGUCAACAUUGUCCUUUUGUUGCUGAAAUGAUUAAUAAUUUACUAUUAUUGCCAUGUUUCUCCAAAAAAAGAAAUUUUGAAGUUUGAUUUAAUCCCUAUUUUCGUCCUCUAAAUUCAAAAAUAAGCCAUAUCAGCCCUUAUUAACAAUUUUGGUCAAGUAUAGCAUCAUGCAUAACCAUUUUCAAGCCAUAUAACCAAUUCUGAAAUCAGUCACCUUGCAAACAUGUAGAAAUGAACAUUUGAGAAAUUGCCACCAGUUGGGAAUGGGAAUUAUUUUUACUUCUCUGUAACAUAUACAGAAAAACUGGUUCAGGAAUGGUGGAGUGGUAAAGCAUGGAUUCUAAUCCCAUCAACAGAAGUAACCACUACAAUCAAAGGCCAGACAUCUGACCUUCUCCAUAUUGAUGGAGUAUUUAUCUGCAACAAGAAAUAGAAGAACAGACAAUCAAUGAUCAAAAAAAGUGGUAAAAAGAACUUCAUAUUUGACUUCCACACUGUUGCCCUAUAACCUGGACUGGGAUUUCUUGCAUGAUCUUCCUGUUAACUUGGAGCGCCUUGGCGACAAUGUCGCCAUCGAUACAUAGAUUUGAUCCGAAGACAGCAUCUCCAAUGGUUAUGAGACCUUGACUUCAAUGGCAAUUGCAUGAACUUUCCUACAUUAUGUUGGAAAUGAACAAGCGCAAGUGGAAAAACACAUUAAGAUGUGUAGCUCUGUGUUAAAAAAGCAUGUAACUAAUAAAUUUCAAAGACAUUUAGCUGUGGAAAGAGGCCCAAAACAUUGAGCUACAUAAGGCAUUUUGCACACUGCAGAUACCACUGAAUAGAUAUAUACAGAAUACAAGAGACAUUCAUAUUGACAGACGAGAGCAAACACAUAAUUAUGUAACUAAUCCCCUAGUGAUUUCACAAGCAGAUUUACAUUCAAGAUCUGCUCCUUUUGGAGUUGAUAAUCUCGAGCCAUUGCAUUGUUGUGUAGAUAUUUAUUAGUUGGAAAAAAAGUUUCAGGUGAGAUGUCUGACCGGUAAAUUGAGGUCCCUAUUCCUAAAACUCCCAAAGUCUAUCUUUGAAUCACAAACUUCAAGAUGACUCAAGGCAUGCAUAUACAACUAACUAGCUUCAAAGAAAAGGGGCAUCAUAAUAUCAGGUCAGGUCAGGAGGUUGCAGAUAGAAGCCAAGAUAUUCAGAAUUACAAUUUUCAUGGUGUUGAAGGUUAGCGGAAAUUUGCUGUGAAUCAUUUAAUAUUGCUUGAAGAAAGAUUACAGGGGCCAUACCAACCAGAGGCUUUUGAAGAAUGUACUUUUGGCGAUGAAUGAUAUUAUGUAAAUCAAGUUGAAGAUCAGAAUCAGCUCCUUUAAAAUAAGUGAUGUUGUUUCAUUUAAUGUAGAAUGAGACUUAAAGAAAGUUCAGUGGAGAAGCUUUUAGGGACCAAACUCCUAAUACAUAGUUAUAAGAAACUAGUUUUUCAUACCAAGAGAGGGGCUAGGUUUUUCUUACCUCACCAUGAAAGAAGAAUAGGGUAAUAUGAAGUUUCGACAUAUCUAACAAUUGUCAUAGGUUUUUCAGCCAAAGUAUCUGUAAGACACAUAAAAGAGAUAGAGAUUUGUUUAUCAUAACACCAAUGAGUUGCUCCUUUAUGUUGGAAUUCUUAAGAAGCCUAUGUUUGACUCGGUCACUUAAUUAAGCCAGCACUUCAUGGCUUCAAGAAGCAAGUCAAUAAUCUAAAGACGCGUCAAAUAUUAAGACAUUGCAUUGAUAAGUCAAAGAAGCAUGCCAAAUGAUUACAAAUAAUGCACCAAUUGGAUCACUUGAUAUGUUUAGAAACAAGCUAUAGAAAAUUUAAAGCACAGAAAGGUAGAUUAUUAAAUGAGUGGGACCAAAUCAGACAUUUUAUGUGAUAGACACAGUAAAAGUUCUUUUUAUUGAAAAUUCAUUACUUUGAACCAAAUCAAAACCUAAAUGCAGACUGUUAAGAGAAUAUAAGUAUUCUUGUAGAUAAUAAAUUAGUAAGGGUAUUCUUAUAAAUAGUUUGUUAGGUUUAUACUCCUAUAAAUACUAGUUGGUCACUCAUAAUACAGUGACUAGAUGUUUUCUUCCCAAGAUACCUGUUAACAUGGUAUCAGAGCAAAAGUCCUAGGGUUAGGGUUAAAUAUCUAGCAAAAGUUUUGACGCGAUACUGUUCAUCGUACACUGUUCACGCGGUACUGUUCAUCGCGCACUGUUCAUCGCGCACUGUUCACGCGGUACUAUUCACGCGCACUGUUCACGACGCACUGUUCAUCGCGAAUUUUGAUUGCUGUUUUGUUUGAAGUACUAUUCGCUAUGGUUGAAAGUUUUGCUAAUGGGGUUACCACUGAUCAAGUUGAAUCAAGUUCUUCAGCACAUGGGUCCCAGAAAACUGUUACUAUAUCCGAGGAAGAUUAUGUUAAAUUCUUACAGUACCAAAUUACAAAUCACGCAUCUCUUCCCUCUGCUUCUUUAGCACAAAAAGGUAAUGACUCAUGGAUUAUUGAUUCCGGAGCUACUAAUCAUAUGUCAGGUACCUCUAAAAUUUUUUCUAAUUUUCAAGAGUCUACUCCCUUUUCUAAUGUUACUUUAGCUGAUGGAUCUACCACUAAAGUUAAAGGACUAGACACUGUAGAAAUUAAUCCAUCACUUCCGCUGUCUUCUGUUCUUUACGUAUCCAAUUUGUCAUUUAAUCUAAUGUCUGUUAGUAAGCUCACUAAAUUUCUACAGUGUACAGUUACUUUUUCUCUUGAUUCUGUUGUCAUUCAGGAUUUGAAAACAAAGAGAACGAUUGGUGGAGGGCAUGAGCAUAAUGGUCUUUAUUUUCUCAAUUUCAAUGGUCCGAUAGCAUGUCCUGCUACUGUUUCUCCUCUUGAAAUUCACUGUCGUUUAGGUCAUCCGUCUUUACAAAAUUUGAAAAAGUUGGUUCCUACUUUGAAUCAAUUAUCUUCGUUAGAAUGUAAGUCUUGUCAGUUAGGAAAGCAUCAUCGUGUUUCUUUUGCUCCUAGAGUCAAUAAACGGGUUUCUGAACCCUUUUUGUUAGUUCAUUCUGAUGUUUGGGAUUCUAGUCGAGUCACUUCAAAGUUAGGUUUUAAAUAUUUUGUAGUUUUUGUUGAUGAUUUUUUCAGAGUUACAUGGCUUUAUUUAAUGAAAGAUCGUUCAGAAUUAUAUUCUAUUUUUUGUGCAUUUGUUACAGAAAUAAAGAAUCAAUUUGGUGUGCCUGUACGUAUACUUCGCAAUGAUAAUGCGAAAGAGUAUUUUUUCACUCCUUUUAAUACCUUUAUGACUAAGUCUGGUAUUAUUCAUCGGUCCUCUUAUCCUCACACUCCACAACAGAAUGGAGUUGCUGAAAGAAAAAUUGGACAUUUAAUCGAAAUUGCUCGAGCACUGUUGUUGCACAUGAAUGUACCCAAACAAUUUUGGAGUGAUGCAGUUCUAACUGCAUGUUAUUUAAUUAAUCGCAUGCCAUCUAAUAUUCUUGGAGGUCAAUUACCUCACUCCAUUUUUUUUCCUCAUGAACCUGUGUUUAAAUUGCCUCCUCAUAUUUUUGGAUGUGUGUGUUCAUCAGCUUGCUCCCGGGGUGGAUAAAUUAGAUUCUCGUGCUAUUAAGUGUAUUUUCUUAGGUUAUGCACGAGCGCAAAAAGGGUAUAGAUGUUACAAUCCAGUUUUAAAUCGAUUUUUUACUUGUGCUGAUGUUACUUUCUUUGAAUCCACUCCGUAUUUUAUCAAACAAAGUAUGUCUUGUGAAUUAGACCAGUGUCCCUCUUUUUUCUCUCCUGUUUUACCAGUCCCUUCCCCUUUAUUACUUGAGUUGUCUAGUCCACUAGAUUCCAUAGCUCGAUUAUCUCGUCCUCAUUUUCAAGUUUACUCUCGUCGUUCCAUGGUUGAGAAAGUUCCUGAUAUGCCACGCACUUCACCAAUUAACUCUCAAUCUUCAAAUUCAUGUAUGACGCCCUCCUCUGAGUUAGAUCUUCCUAUUGCUUUACGCAAAGGUAAGAGACAUUGUACUUCCCAUCCUAUUUCUAAUUUUAUUUCUUAUUCUCGUCUCUCUAUGUCAUAUUCUUCUUUUGUUGCUUCUCUUGAUUCUAUCUCCAUUCCUAAGUCUAUUACAUAUGCUCUUAAUCAUCCUGAUUGGAGAUUAGCUAUGCAAGAAGAGAUGUCUGCUUUGGAACAAAAUGGUACUUGGGAUCUUGUCCCUCGUCCUUCAGGUAAGCCUGUUGUUGGUUGUAAAUGGGUGUACACUAUAAAAGUGCAGCCUAAUAGUUCUAUUGAUAGAUUGAAGGCUCGGCUGGUAGCUAGAGGAUUUACUCAGGUGUAUGGAGUAGACUACUUAGAAACAUUUUCUCCUGUUGCAAAGAUUACCUCUGUUCGUCUUCUUAUCUCUUUGGUAGCAACUUAUAAUUGGCCAUUGCAUCAGUUAGAUGUGAAAAAUGCAUUUCUGCAUGGAGAUUUGGAAGAAGAGGUAUAUAUGGAACAACCUCCUGGAUUUGUUGUUCAGGGGGAGAAUCCGCGGUUGGUUUGUCGUUUGAAAAAAUCCUUAUAUGGAUUGAAACAGUCUCCGAGGGCUUGGUUUGGCCGGUUUAGUAGUGUUGUCAUGGAGUUCGGUCUGACAAGAUGUGGAGUAGAUCACUCUGUAUUUUAUCGACAUUCUAAUGCUGGUAAAAUUUUAUUAGUUGUUUAUGUGGAUGACAUUGUGAUUACAGGUGAUGAUGUUGUGGGGAUCCAGAAACUUAAAUCCAAUCUGCAGGCAAACUUUCAGACAAAGGAUUUAGGUCAUCUACAGUAUUUUUUGGGUAUUGAGGUAGUUCGGUCUAAAUAUGGAUUUAUUUAUGUCAAAGAAAAUAUGUACUCGAUAUGUUGAGUGAGGUUGGGAUGUUAGGUUGCCGACCUGUGGAUACUCCUAUGAAUUCCAAUGUGAAAUUAGCAGGAGAUCAAAGUGCAUUAUUUGAUGAUCCUAAGCAAUAUUGAAAAUUUGUGGGUAAAUUAAAUUAUCUCACUGUAACGAGACCUGACAUUUCGUUUGCAGUGAGUGUUGUGAGUCAAUUUCUUGAUACCCCUCGUACUAGUCAUUAGGAUGUUGUUAUACAGAUUCUCAGGUAUCUUAAGAGUGCUCCUGAAAAAGGGUUGCUGUAUCAAAAUCAUGGACACACUGAUAUUGAAGGAUGUAGUGAUGCAGAUUGGGCUGGUUCUGCUUCAGAUCGAAGAUCGACUACAGGAUAUUGUGUGUUUGUUGGUAGUAAUUUAGUGUCGUGGAAGAGUAAGAAGCAAACAGUUGUAUCCAGAUCAAGUGCAGAAUCUGAAUACCGCGCUAUGGCUCACACUGUGUGUGAGUUGGUUUGGUUGAAAAGCAUGUUACUGGAACUUGGGUUUGAGCAUAAACAGCCUAUGAAUUUAGUGUGUCAUAAUCAGGCGGCUGUUCAUAUUGCGUCUAAUCCAGUGUUUCAUCAAAGGACAAAACAUAUUGAAGUUGAUUGUCAUUUCAUUCGAGAGAAAUUACUUGACGGGAUCAUCAAGACAUCUCAUGUACCGUCUGUAGAUCAAUUGGCUGAUGUGUUUACCAAGAGUUUAGGGGGCUCUAGGGUGAAAUACAUUUGUAACAAGUUGGGUGCUUAUGAUAUAUAUGCUCCAACUUGAGGGGGAGUGUUAAGAGAAUAUAAGUAUUCUUGUAGAUAAUAAAUUAGUAAGGGUAUUCUUGUAAAUAAUUUGUUAGGUUUGUACUCCUAUAAAUACUAGUUGGUCACUCAUAAUACAGUGACUAGAUGUUUUCCUCCCAAAAUACCUGUUAACACAGACGUUUUACUGCUUAUUUGUUGACUAAUUUAAAAAGUUGCUGAUUUACUAACCAAAAGAGAAUAUGCAAAGAUUUUUCUAAGAGCUAUUUAUCAAUAAAAAUACAGAGUUCUUAAUGAUAAACUGCAACAGAGAUGUGGACAUUUCUCUAAACGACUGUUUAUAACCAAAAAGGCAAGCCUGCCUGACAAGUAAAUUUUUCUGUAGCUAAGAAUAUAGCGAAGCAUUUUCACCUGGAAUGCACUGCAUCUUCAUCACUCAAGCCUCCUCCUUUUACACCUUCCCAAGGCACCAUGAUAUAAUCAUUGUGCUGCCCCAAUAACAGUUGGCCAUUUUUCUCCUCAAAGCCAAGCUACCAGGGUGCCAUCUCGACUCCAAAACAAACUUCUUGCCCCAAAAUCCCCAGCUUAACCAUCAUCCUGCAACUUCCACCUUUUAAAGGUAAACCAGCCAACGCAAACAUAAGAUUCAACAACUCUAGUUGGCCACCCCUGCCUUGCUCCUUGACAAAAUACAGAACAGCACAAGCUCCGCCUAUGCAUAUUGCCAACCACAUCUUCUCCCAAUCUGAGUACACAGCUAAACCCCAUGCAACUGAUAAUGUCUCCUCCAAUGCAAUCUAACAACCAGCACCAUGCCAAUAUCCCAUCCCUAUAUCUUAGCAUAAGCAUGGUAUUGCAACUUAAAUGAAUUUCUUUGUGAAUACAUGGUGUUGCAAUAUGAAUGAGUGUAAAGCAACUGUUAUGUGUGCACUUAUGUUUCUUCUAUUGCUUUAUGACAUUUUACUUGUAAGAUGGGCUGCAUCAGCUUUCAAUAGAAAAGGAUUUAUGUGAGACAAAAAAAAUCCAAGAGGAAGGAAACCCAGGUCUAAGAUGUCCAGAGCAGUUACUAUAACUACGCAAUACCAUACCUAAAGAACCAACGUUGGAAGUUCCAGAUUACCAGCUGUUCAAGCUCGUGCAUGAACAAUAAAUCUAGUGGUGAGACAACCCUAUACUGCCUUGGAGAAGCUGACUGUUGGUUUUGCUUGAUUUUCCCGAGUGUAUAAGACAAUAAAUUCGCUAUCCAGUGGUUACUGAUUAGGGGCAUCUUUGGAAGAAUGAUCAAUUGUUAUCUUAUCUAGGCUAUCUUUUCAGUCUGGAAAAUCAUAAAAAUGACUGAUAACACCAGAUUGAAAAAUGGAGGAAAUGAUUCACUUGAAAGACCAGAGGGUAAUGUGAGCAUGGAACACAGUUGAAGGGGGGACUUUUAGGAAGUUACCCCUUCUGUUUGUAUGCGCUUUUGAUCUGUCAAAUUUCAUGAUAAGGUGGCUAAUGCACCAAUUUUUUUACCAACUUAAAGGUUUUUGGCCUUUUAAUUUGUUUAAUUUACGUCCAGUUCGUAUAUAUAUAUAUAUAUGGCAUCAAUAAAAUGCAUUUUACAAUAUGGUGAGGAACAAUUAGAAAAAAAAAAAAAAAAAAGCUAGAGAAAAAAGGAAAUUUAGAGCAGAUCUCAAACAGAGUAGCCAUGGACAAAGACCGGAGUCUUGCAAAGAAGAGUUGCAGUGGCUACACUCAGUGCAGCCAGAUGAACGUGUUGGUGAGAUUUUGGGUUUCAUAAUGAUGUUAGUGAGGUGUUAUACAAUGCAUAUUCAGCCAUGUUUUUUUUAUAAGAAGUCAUAUAUUCCAAAAGCUUUGGGAGCUAAAAGGGAAAAAUACGAUAAAUCUAACAGACAUGACACUUAAUUGAAGUAAAAUUUACAAAAAUUUCUUGGUUGUACAUGAGCAAUGAGUAAUGAAAAGCAAAGAUGCGUAUAGGAGUAACUUGGAGGCCAAUAUUGACUCAAAACAUUCAUAGAUUGAAAAACGUAAACAGGAAAAGGUAAGAGAACUAACCUGGAAAUCUCAACUUCCAAAGGUAAAAAUUCACAGCUCAUUUCAUUUCAGCCAACUCAAAAGAUUUCAAGUAUCAGGGAUGCAAUCAUACCAAGGACCUUUAGCUUUUACCACAUUAGGGCAAAGGAAAAGGACAACGAUCUGAAUGCAAGCUUUCAAAGAACUAAUUUAAUUUCAUUAUUGAUGACAAAUAAACAAUUUUUCACAUAAUAGCUGAUGUCAGGAGAAGUGAGGAAGAGUAAGCUAAAUAAAAAACAAUCAACGAAGUUUACGAACAUAUUAAAGAAUUUCUAAAAAUUGGAAUGCCUCAUAGAUUAUGAAAAUAUUCAAGAAUUACUAUGCAUGUCAAACAAGGAUUAAGUACCUAAAAAAAGGCAUCAAGAGGCAAAUGAUACAGAAAAAAGACAGGCCAAGAACAAAAUUUGGCAACCAACAUCUGUAAAAAGUGCUUGAAGCAAACCAGCCAACAUAUGUGAGAAGGCCUUCACUAUAAGUUGGUAAGUUUGACACCAUGCAACAGACAACAAAGAAAAAUUUUACUCAUUGUCUACCUAAUCAUGACACAAGGAUGAAGGAAUAAAGAAUGGGGCAGCACCAACAGCAGCCUGCUUUGCUCAUUAAGCUUUUGAUGAAAGCACAGUCACUGGUCAAAUUUUGAGAAAAGGGGAAUAAGAUUCAUGUAAAUGCUGUAUGCCAUGCCCAAGUGUAGGUAUAGCCUAGCUUGUUUAAACUCCUCACAGAACAGAAAAGUUGAAACUUGAGAAGUAAAGCAUAUAUGCAACAGGAUAGAAUGUAGAACAGACAGACAGUAAUGACAACAUUCUGCAUCAGUGGUAAUUGAUUUGCGUUAUGUUCCAUGCACAAUUUGACAUUCAUUGACCCAAAAGGAUAUUAGACUUACAAAUAUGUGAAACCUGUAAAAGAUGUUGAACAAAAGCACGUCUUUGGUAAAGAGAAUAAAGCCAAAAAAGAAAUGCAAGGAGUUUACCUUCUUGCGCAAGGUAUUCAACUCUAUGUGUGUGGAAAAUGAAUCUAACCAUUUACAGGCUCUUAACAAUGGCCAAUUAGAAGAAAAAAUCAAAAUCUUAAACUACACCAUAGUCCAAUUAUUCCUCAAAAGAUUUCCAGGCAAACCUCUGAGAACCGAGAAACUUUGCCUUCAGAAACUCACGCAUUCUUGCUUCUGCCAGUGCUGUCAGCUUGGUAAAUCUUUCAACCAGUAGAUGUUUUAAUAUAUACUCAACAAAUUUAUUACUGCAGAUCAAAAUUGUAAGCAAUCUGUACCAAGAUUUGUGCAUCCCUUGGUGAGAAUGAGGAUGAAAUUUGACCUUUCAAAUUGCAUUGUGGUAUUCUGAUGUUUGUUAUGACUUGGAGGAUAUAGGAGUUAAAGUGACUCAUAUCCUGUGAAAUUCAUUUAACAGCUCAGUCUAAACCAAAUGUCAUUUGAAAUUGCAGCAUGAUACCAAUGCUCAUUUGCUUGCUAAUUUCUCCAACUAAACUCAUUCCGCAUGUCAGAGAACAUUUUCAAGCAACAUUAACCUUCUCAAUAAACCAAAAAAGAGAGAAAAGAGAAGCGAACAAGGUUGUGUCUUUAUUUAAUAAAUAACACAGUUCACAGAGGCAAUGAACAAGAAUACGCAACAGCUAAACAAUAUAGACAGCUAAAAAAGAACAAUUCUAGAACAAAUCCUCCAAUGACAGAUAUACAUACAAUUCAUUAGCAGGACAAUUGUCUAAAUGACCUCAUAACAAACAGGCAACAUCGGCCAUAUGUAGCAUUCAGGGACAGCAGCUGGGGCACCUAACCAACCCGUUCUCAUUACAAUCAAAACACCUUCUCAAUUUUCCUUCCUCCUCUUCAAAGAU